AUCAAGGCCUAUCUAUAAGAAGCCUUACAGGAUGGGAUCCGAAGAGCUAGCACAGCGAAAGAAGCAGUUGGAUGAGCAGAUCAGGAGAGGGUUCAUUCGUCCAAGUGCAUCACCGUGGGGAUCGCCUGUUCUGUUCGUGUCCAAGAAGGAUGGGACUAUCAGACUCUGCGUCGAUUACCGUUCUCUCAAUGAGGUCACGAUCAAGAACAAGUAUCCUGUCCCCAAUACUGAAGACUUGUUUGAUCAGCUAAAUGGAGCUAAGGUAUUUUCCAAGAUCGAUCUCCGGUCUGGAUAUUACCAAUUGAAGAUUCGACCCGAGGACAUACCCAAGACUGCGUUCGUGACCCGGUACGGUCUGUACGAAUGCAUAGUCAUGUCUUUUGGAUUGACUAAUGCCCCAUCUUACUUCAUGUACCUCAUGAACAAGGUCUUCAUGGAAUACAUAGACAAGUUUGUCGUCGUAUUCAUCGAUGACAUAUUAAUCUUUUCCAAGUUCGAGAAAGAGCAUGAGCAACACUUGAGGUUAGUAUUGGAAAAUCUUCGAGAGCAUCAACUUUAUGCCAAAUUCAGCAAGUGUCAAUUCUGGCUGAACGAAGUUGGAUUCUUGGGUCAUACCAUGAAAGCAAGUGGAUUGGCGGUUGAUCUCUCCAAGAUUACUACGGUAACCAACUGGGAAUCACCAAUUGAUGUGAAGGAAGUCAGGAGCUUCCUCGGACUCGCGGGAUAUUACUGCAAGUUUGUAGAAGGAUUCUCCCGCAUCGCUCGACCUAUGACUCAACUCUUGAAGAAAUGCAAGAAGUUCGAAUGGACGCCGGAGUGUGACGCAAGCUUCCAAGAAUUGAGAAGAGAUUAACUACCGCCCCAGUAUUGGCCACUCCAGAUAUCAGCAAGGAGUUUGUGAUAUAUUGUGAUGCCUCCAGAACCGGGCUCGGUGGGGUUCUAAUGCAGGACGACAGAGUGGUGGCGUAUCUAUCACGACAACUGCACCCGCAUGAGGAGAAUUAUGCCACCAUGAUCUCGAAUUAGCAGCAGCAGUGCAUGCCCUGAAGACAUGGCGACAUUACCUUCUGGGGAAACAAUCUUAAAUAUACACUGACCACAAAAGUCUGAAGUAUAUCUUCACCCAAAGGGAACUGAAUAUGAGGCAAUGAAGUUGGUUGGAGUUAAACAAAGACUACGACCUCAGCAUUCAAUAUCACCCCGGUAAGGCCAAUGUAGUGGCUGAUGCCUUAAGCCGGAAGACCAGCACCUUGAAUGUCAUGCUCAAGGAAAGGCAACCUGCCUUGUAUGAAGAAUUGGAGAACUUCGGAUUGGAGCUAGUAGAAUCAGGAUUCCUAGCUAACCUCGAAGUCAAACCAACGCUGGUUGAUGAUAUCAAGGAGGCCCAGAAGGGUCAUAAGAGCAUUGAAGGCAUCAAGAAGGCAAGACCCGAGGAUUCUCGGUGGAUGAACAAGGAGUAGUGUGGUUUGGGAAAUGUUUAUGCGUACCCAACAAGGCUGAACUCAAGGAUUUGAUCCUACAGGAAGCUCAUGAUACACCCUACUCUAUUCACCCCGGUGGUACGAAGAUGUAUCAAGAUCUUUGAGAAAUAUUCUGGUGGCAUGGCAUGAAGAGGGAAAUAGUGUUUUAUGUUGCCAAGUUCGAUGUGUGCCAGCGAGUCAAGGCUGAGCAUCAGCGACCUGCUGGAUUGCUACGACCUCUCCAGGUGCCAGAAUGGAAGUGGGACAAGAUAGGCAUGGACUUUGUUACCGGCUUACAAAGUUCAAGCAGAGGCGAUGACUCUAUAUGGGUCAUUGUCGACCAUCUGACCAAGGUGGCCCAUUUCGUUCCAGUCAACACCACUUAUGAUGGGGACAAGUUGGCUAGUCUCUAUAUUGAGCGUAUUGUGAGCCUUCACGGAGUUCCCAAGGAGAUUGUAUCUGACCGAGGCACGCAGUUCACCUCAAAAUUUUGGAAGAAGUUCCAAGGAGCCCUCGGAACAAAGCUCUCUUUCAGCACCGCUUUCGAUCCACAAACGGGCGGACAAAUGGAAAGAGUGAAUCAGAUACUCGAAGAUAUGCUCCGCGCUUGCGUCUUGGCACAUGGUGCCAAAUGGGAAGACUGUCUGCCGUUCGCUAAGUUCUCAUACAACAAUAGCUACCAGUCCAGUCUCCAAAUGGCCCCAUUUGAAGUGCUGUACGGACGUAAGUGCCACACCCCGCUCAACUGGUCCGAAACCGGUGAAGGGAUGAUUUUCGGGCCGGAAGUUUUGCACAAGGUAGAAGAGAAGGUGCAACUUGUCCAAGAAAAUCUAAAGGCAGCCAAGUCGCGUCAAAAGAGCUAUGCGGAUUCUCGCCGCAGGGAUGUGGAGUUCAUUCCCGGAGAUCAGGUGUACCUCCAUGUCACCCCUCUUAAAGGAACCAUGAGUUUCCAUGUUAAAGGGAAACUCGCUCCAAGGUUCAUUGGACCUUUUAAGAUCACGACAAGGCGUGGAGAAGUUGCUUAUCAGUUGGAGCUACCUCCAAAACAUUCGGGUGUGCACAACGUGUUCCACGUGUCACAACUCCGGAAGUGUCUUCAAGUGCCAAACCAUUAUGAUCUUUACAAGGACAUUGUCCAUCAGGCUAUCAACCUUCAGCCGGAUCUCACCUACCGCGAGAAGCCAAUCCGCAUUCUGGAUGAAGCUGAGCGUUGCACCAGAAGCCGCACCAUCAAGUAUUUCAAGGUUUAGUGGAGCAACCACACCGAAGCCGAAACAACAUGGGAGCGUGAAGACUAUCUCCGAUCUAAGUUUCCGGACCUUUUUAGCACCUAGCUUAGGAAUCUCGGGGACGAGAUUCUUGUAAGGGGGAUAGGUCUCUCACACCCUGUUUUUACUACCACUUCUCUGUAAUGCAUAAAUCCGAGCUUGUUAAAACUUUUUCAAAACUAAUGAUGUGAGUGCCAUGAUUGUCAUUGUAUGCUUGUGUGUUUGAUCAUGUGAUGAUAAAAACCCCAUUUCACAAUAUUGAUUUGUUUCCAAAGACCUUUACUUGUUUCUGAUCAAGGUAAAACCCUACUUUGAGUUGCACUACAUGUCCUUGAUGGCAAGAAGUGUUUCUACCCGAAGUUGGUGAUCUGAUUUUAACUUCAUUUUAGUGCUUCAAAACCACAAAAUAAUUAUUUUUAGAAUUAUUUUCCUAAUUAAAUUACAUGUCCAUUUCUGAGGCCAUAAUUGGUAUUCCUACUUGGAAAAAUACUUUUCUGCCUUAGAAAAAUCUGAUUAAAUUUGGAGAUGAUCAGAAGGACAUAUAUUUUCCAUACAUAAGAUUUUAAACCCCUAUUUAUAAUAUAAUUAUUUGAGUAAAAUCCUGAAAACCAUUUCUGUCUGUUUUGACCUUUUGAAAUAUUUCCAAAGGAAAUAUUCUCAAUAAAAUCGUAGAAAAUUCCAGUGGUAUCCCUAAGCCAUAUUUGGUGUCCACAUAAUGUUUCACCUUGAUCCAAGGUGAUUAAGGACCCCAAAUAACCCUAAAACCCCUUUUGUCCAGAUUGGAGUUAGAGCAACUCUACAUAGCAAAGUUUGUCUAAUGAUGCUGAAACUUUGCAGGAGUGCCUAAUACCUCAAAUGAGGGUUCCACACCAAAAAUGGGAUUUGUGGGACUUAGUUUUCCCACACUCUCUUUGGAAGGGACAGAUCUGGUCAAAUGGUGGUGUUUUCAAGUUUACAAAGCUAAACUUGUCCAAUGGAGCUCAAACUUGGUGAAACCCCAUGUUUUAGCACCAAACCAAAACCUGUUACGUUGCAGGACCAGUGGAGGGGUGCAACUGCCCCAAACCACUAGCAAACACCUUCUGACAGAUGGGUAAAAGCCCCUUUAACCCAUAGCUAAACCCAAACCCUUUUCUCAAAACUCUUAGAUUAGGUGGCCAGUAUCAAUGCCCAACCCCAGUAAACUGGCCCCUCAUUGGUUCAAAGUGGAAAUGACAAAAACCCUAAUCUAAGCUUUAGUUCAAAGCUGACAGCAUGAGUAUUCCUUGUCUCCCUUGACCAGCCGAAGCUCACAUGGGACCCCAACGCUAGCCUCACUCCCAGCCAGUGCCAGGACCUGCUAGACACGUCCAAAGUGCUUCAGAGCGCACCAGCAUGCCGUGGCAUGCCAAAACUGAGCUCUGGGCGCGCUACAGGAAGCCACCAAGGUGGGGGCGAUGCCCUUGGCCAGUUCCAGCCUCCCUCAAGGUGUCCAACCUGUUCCCCGACAACCCCUCUGCAUCAAACGACCAUCACGGCCCCUCCUCUCCCGCACUAGAGCUCGUGCGACGCGUGCCCGCGCGCACCAGAAUUGGCCAAGGUUGCGCGGCCACUGAUGCUCGACUCCUCUCUCUCCCCGUCUGUUGCAGAUGGUUCUGGCAGGUCAAAACCACGGCGUGAGACUGUGGUUUCGCCCCCAGCCCGUCUCCGCACCCCCAUGCGCGCCAUGGUGAGUCACCGGCGCUCACGAAUCGGCUCACUGUCGCGGGCGUGUAAAUAGCCCCCCCUCGCUCCUGCACCCCUGAGACAGCUUCGCCACGACCACUGGCACCUCCCUAGCCACCCCAGCAAGCCAGUAGAGCCCCGGUGCUCGAGAUCGAUCGAGGCCCCUCUGCCUCGGAGCUCGGGUCGAUCUCUGGCUAUACGACGGCUCCUGCAACCCUCGAUCCACCAAACUGAUCCCCUCGACCUUAGGAAGCUUUCCCCCAACUUUCUCGAGCAUUUCCGUGCCCCUAGCUACCUUCUCGACCACCUCCCGAAACUCCUCCACCGCGGCCUCCUCAUCGCCGGCGAACCCGUGCCUCUCCGUCGUUGUUCCGACGACCAACACGUAGGCGGCGAUGAGCCAAACCCAUUUAUGUCCUCGUUGGGGCUUGAGAACGUCGGCAGCCUCGCCGGCGUGCUCCCUCUCCUCUCCGGCCAGAGGUAGGAGACAACCCCGACACGUGUGUCCCACCUAUUGGUGGCCCAACUCUCUCCCCCUCGCUGCCCGUAGCAGCUGACCGCAAGGCCCCGCAUGUCAGGUUCAAACCUGACGGCACGCGCGCCUAGGCAUGCUGUCGGCUGGCCUUGGGCCGGCCCAGUUCCAGGCCGAGCCAGGCCACGAACUUAGCCCAUUUUUCUGUUGUUUUUAAAAUCUGAUUUCAAAGAUUUUUAUAAAAAUAUUUAACUAGUGUAAAAAUAUAUUUUUUCCACUCAUGUUCUUCUAAAAAUAUGUAGUAUUUAAUAAGACCUUGGGAUGAAUUUUUCAGCAACUAUUCUGUUUUACAAUAAUAAAAGGACUAAAUUGGAAUAUUUUUGCUUCUGUUUGGUUGAUUUCAAAAAUGUUCCUUCAUUGGAAUGAGAGGCAAAUAUUUUUCAGAAUAGCCACUUAGAUUUAUGAGUAAUAAAGAACAUUUUUAAAAUGACUUAUUUAUUCUUUUUUUGAGUGAGCUAUUUCUUAUUUAUUCUUUUGACGACGAUAGAAAAUCCGUGUGACGAGGGAAUCGGAGCGGAAGACCUCGAAGACCCCGGAUACCUGACGGACCAAGGCAAGCAACCCUUUGACCAUGACUGAGUAUAUGUUAUAUUACAUGUUAAGAUAUCAAGUAUUUCCGUUGCAUAUGAAUCAUAAGUUCCGGUAAAUCACUAAGGUGAUGUUACCGAUGGCUCCUCCGGAGCACAUGCAUUGAGCUUGAUCCUACCCCUUUUUGAGGAUCAUGCUAGUACCAUGUUGACAAGUAAAGCUAGAGUAAGAGUAGCAUGAUCAUGGGUUGAUCAAAGUCUUAUGAAAGACCCGUCGGGUGCCACUAAUGCCCGAGGGUGAUGAUGAGUUAGUUGGCCACUUUUGGUGAAGUGGUGCACCGGGUCUUUUGAGUGAGUAUGGUUUCGGAAAUGGGAUUAGAUUUAUGAUGUGUCGAUCAUCCCAACCUUACCUGUACGACCACGUUACCCCUUUAUGGGACGGGGCUUUGUUGAUUACUCUGGUCGGUGCUAAGAGGAGCCACAUUACUAGUGGCAGGAGUGAUAUGUGGUCACUCUCGUGAUGGGGUCGUGCCAGGUAGGGCGACUAUGCCAUUUUUAUGAGUUCCAGGCACACCGUUGGUCUCCGCAUGGUUGUUACUGUCCAUAGUUGGUGCUCGUAAGAUGUACAACAUUUGGGCUGGGUACCAAUCGAGUGGACCUCUUUGUUUAGUAUCGUUAGGGGAAAGGCAUUGAUCUGGUACUUACCUCGGUAUGUUAUAUACUGCGAGUCGUGGAUGACACAGAAGUUUCCCGGAUCUCGUGGGUCCAGCGUACUACCUCUGCAGAGUGUAAAACUAUUUGAAUAGCCGUGUCCACGGUCAAGGACAGUUGGGUAAUCCUGCUUAUACUACGUCCAGUCGUUUCCGCAUAAACCAAGUGUGUGCGAGUUGUGAUGAAAAGGAGUUAUUGAUCUCUGGGAUCACUGAGCACGUUCAUUCUGCGAUCUCGACUCGUAAGUCAGGGUCCCCACUGGAUGGCUUCAUCCUCUCCGGCUGCCCGCGUCACCGCUUCAGGCGUCUCUGCCUUCGUCAUUUCCUCCGCGAGAUAGGCCUCGACGAUCCUUAUCCUCUCCUUCCCACGACGGGCAUCCCGUUCCCGACGGGACUCGAAGUCCGCGGGUUGCCGAAGGAUCCGCCCGCCGGGACAUGGAGGAUCCCGUCCGAGAGGAACAGAGCGCCCUUUGAGAGGUCUCUAUGAAGUCGCGGUGGACAUAUCCUUCCAUCGGCCGGGCACUGUCCUCGCGCAAGCGGCGGAGUGCAAUGCGAACCGCCAUUGCCUCCUCCACUCCGCGCGGGACGAGCCCCCAGUCGACGGAUCCGGAUCGGUCGGAGUCGGAUCCACUGGAGGUCAUGCCAGAGAAGGCCUGAGAUCACCGGAGGUGAGCUUGGACGGCGGAUGAGAGUGGAGGGAAGUGGAGUCAAGUGGCUAGGUUUGGUCCGGUCAACGGAUGAGGACGAAUAUAUAUGGGGUCAAUACGGACCAGUGGGGGUCAGGCGGCGCCCAGACUCCCCCAUGUCCACCCCAUAGUUGGGCUAGAAAUGGGGCGUUCCGGUCAGCCCAGGCGUUUGAGACUCGUUUAAGAGGAUCGUCUGGAUCGAUUUUUUGUAAUCGAACAGUGUCCGGACGGUCUGUCCGGUGGUUUGAGGAGGAUUUGAAGAUUCCGAUGUACCGUGAAUAGCUGUAACUCCACUCUGUAAGAGCAACUCUGGCAGACCAUGUAUAUUCACGACCUGCAAACGCGUUUUGCAGUUCGUCGAAGUGGGGUUUUGCGGAACGAAAAGUUGCGCUGCAGAACAGAACCCGCAUAAUUUGAAAAAUAAACAUUCGCGGGCAUGCUCAAAACCACAUUCAUGAUCAUACAACACUACAUUCAUGAUCAUACAACACUACAUUCAGUACUAGAGGGAGGCAUCACCUACUGGAGCAACUACCUAUACUACCGCACUACGCAAAAUGGAGCUCACCGGAGUCGAGCUCGUGCAGUAGAAGAUAGCCUACAUUCAGUCAUCGUCCUCGUCGUCCUCGUCGGAGGAGAGCUCGACGUAGAUGCGCUUCUGCGCAGUAGCUUCGCGGCGCCACUCCUCCACCUUGUGGCCGAAGGCGAUGGCCGACGCGACACCCUGCUCGUAGAGCACGGUGUCGAUCUCCUCCUCCCUCCGGCGGCGUUGUUGGUCCUCUUAGGCCUCCCGUGCACUCCGCGCCAGCAGCACGGGCAAGAGGCUAUCCGCCUCCGCCGGAGGGAGGAAGUCCUCCGGUCCGACGACGGCCCUGGCACGUCGCUCCGGCACCGCCUCGGCCUCCGGCUCCAUCUUCACCGACGGGAGCUCUUCGAGCUCCCUCUUCACCGGUGGGACGGAGGAGGACGAGCGGGAGCUCGACGCCUCGAUUGAGCUCCUGCCGGAGAAGAGGCAGCUGCGCGCGCGGUCGUACUCCUCUGUCUCGCGAUGGAGGAGCGACGACGGUGGCGUCAGGCCCCAGCGCGUGUACUGGCGGGCGGCGCGCUUACGGGCGGCGUCGGAUCUGACGCGACGAGCCCUCUCGGGGUCGUCGUCCCUACGGCUACCGGAGCUGGCCAUACGCGGCGGUGGAUUGGAGCGGCUAUGCGGCGUAAUGGAGGCGCGUGGCGGGCGGUGAGGUGGGGGGGGGGGGGGCUUUUCGCGGCGGCGGAGGGAUAGGAUUUCGACCCUUAUCCAGCGGUCGAACCCGCAGUUAUACCGGUCGAGGGAUCGGUUUACGGGCCACCGCAUAAAAAAUUCCAGAUCGAGCCGCGUUUGCAGUGUUUGCUCUGGCAAAACAAAUGAGCCCAAACCCGUAUAGUCGCCGGAUUUUUUGCGGGCAGGCCGUUUUGCUCUAACUACUUCUCCUAUUCUCAUGCGUCAUUAGCGCAUGCGCUGGUUUAGUGGAAUUAGUUCCGUAUUUGUCAGGUCAUGGCCACACCUGUGUGUGCGUGGGUCGGUGCCUAUGUACUCUCUGAUUGACUGAAUACAAGUGCAGUUCUAGUCUCCAUUGUGUCCUUACCUCUCACAGUUUUUAUUUACUUUUUUUUAGACAACAUUUCUAUUUACUAGUACUCCACAGCUGUAGGACAGGGUGCGUCGAACAUUGACAUUCAUGCAUAGGGCCGGUAUUUUUUCUUUAUUUUUUGCGGGCGCAUAGGGCUGGUAGUUGUUUCAGGCGUAAAUCAACAUGAGCUCGGGGUGGGAAUGGCUGAGAAAUUUUGUAAUGUUCUAAGCCCGGCGAGACCCUUGAGAAAGGACUAGCUUUUGUAGAACAUCUUGGAUGCUCUUCGAUCGUUGUGGAAUCUGACUCUUUAAAGCUCGUCCAACUUUGUAAUGGUAUAUGAGGUUUUGACUUCAUGUGCAACGAUAAUGACUGAAUGUUUUACAAGUGCUCAAAGGAUCGGGUGGAUUUUUUUCAACAUUGUCCAAGGGAUGCAAAUAAGGUGGCUUAUAUUUUAGCUAGGCAUGCUUUUGAUUCAAAUUCUGUUAUUGUUUGGGAUGGUGAUCUACCCACUUUUAUCAUUGUCGGCCGUAAUUGCGGAUGUAACUAUUCCUACUAUUUAAAUAAGAGAGCCAUGAAGCAUUCUUUUCAGAAAAAAAAAACAUGAGCUCAGGGAUUUUUUAUAUCUACUUGAAUCACACACCGGAUACAAUCCUUUAUAGGUGGGCUGCUUCAGGCCAAACGAGGAAAUCGACCGAAACUACACAUGAUUUCAGGUAACUAAAAAAUUGAAAUGCUUGACAUGUAGAUUUUACUUUAAGUUCGUAACGCCAAAUUAAGCACAAUACAAAGCAGUUAACUUGAUAGGUCUUGGACCGAGGCAAUAACAAGGCACAAUACAAAUAUGUUUACACAUAAAUUGCGGCUUUUUAUAAUAUGCAAGAAUACACAAAAAUGUAAACUUUUGAAAAAGAAAUUCUAAGAAGCAAUUGCACUAGUGGCAUUGGUGAUACCAUUAAAUAUUAAAGGAAAUGAAUAAAAACUAAAUAAAUAAUAUUAAAUUUACACAAAAUUAUUGCAUUGUUUUGAUAUGCAAGAAUAAAUAUAGAGUAGUGAAACUAGUAGCAUCGGUAUUACCCUUAAAGAAGUAAUAAAAACUAAAAAGAAUAAUGACAAAAAUUGCAUAUAACUUACACAAUAAUCUCCCUUUGGUAUAAUAUGCAAGAAUAAACAUAUUAUAGUUGAAUUCAUGGCAUUGGCAUUACCCUUAAAGAAUAAAAAAUUAAAUAAAAGUAAAAUUAAAUUAAAUUAACGAUGUUUCUGAGGAAAAAUGAAUUAGUGGCAUUGGUAUCAAAAUUUAAUAAAUAAUAAUAAUAAUUGCCACAAUUUGCACAUAAAAUUUCUUCUUUAUAAUAUGCAAGAAUAUGCAUAUAUAUAAUAGUGGAAUUUACGUUAAAUGGGGAAGUUUACUAAGUAGGAAUGAAUUAGUGGCAUUGGCAUUGGUAUUAAAAAUGAUCCUCACAAUAGUACUAGGGGUACGAAUGAGGGGCGAAGCCUAGCUACGGCGCAGUUGUUGCACUCGGGUGUACGAGUUUGGGCCCUACUCGGGAGUGGUAAAGACCCUAUGUCUCGAGCUCGGAGGCUGGUGUUUUCUUAUGGGGGGUGUAAGUAUACAUAAUGGUUACCCCUUGAUCAGGAACCCGGGAGUGGCUUAUAUAGAGUGCGCCACGACUGGUCGAGCCUCAUUACAAAGGUGAGUUAAUACUAAUAACUACGGAAGUUACUAGUAACAUCAGUUUUAAGUCGAGCGUUACUGGUAACACCGAUCUUCAUUGGGCAUAAUGUAGUAGUUUAAUCUUCCUGCCAUUGCAGCCUCUUCGUUGGACGCACGUUACCUUAGUCCGAGUGUCGGGGUGCGUCCGACUGGUGGAAGCUAGUCCGAGUGAGAACCUCUUCACCUGAGUAGGAGCGAGACUUCACUGAGAGCCUUGACGACCUUGACGACUGUGUGGGGGCCUGGGUGGGCCUAGGAAUGUUGGUCCAUGGCCAUACCCCUAGUAGACAACCCCAUUAGUAGCCCCCGAAUCGGUUGAGAUUCUGCUGGCCAGGUGAAAGACACUUCGUGGUGUCCUCGACAUCUCAGGGACGCCAAGAAUACAGCCUGGGGCUGUUUCACUCGGACUCUCAGCAUACCACUAUCGAUUCAGGAGUGAAACAAUCCGAGUAUUCAGGCUCGUCCACCCGCUUACAAUCGGUAGUUGCUAUUUGUCUCUCGGAGAGAUGAGGUGAUGGCUUGGAUGAACCCGAGCUCGGGGCUUUGAAUGACCAGAAGAAGGGAGGAUGGAUCCCAUUCGCCCCAAGCAUAGGGUGAUCUGAUCAUCUUCGCGUUCAUAUGAGUGACUGAUAUCUUACAGAAAGACGAAUGAACGGAUGACCGAAUCGCUCUGUCCCGAGUCGUAGGACGUGGAAUUCAUUUGGAGGGCGAGUACGACGAAGUCUUUGCGGUUUUUGGAUCGUGGGAGCGCGCCGGAAGGAGCGGAAUCAAUGUCGUCGCGGUGAGUGGGAGAAGUGCCAAGGCGCCCCGAUUCCCAUGCGUGACAUGUCACCACGUGCUGCAGACGCACUGAUCCAGGGAUCAUGCGGAUCCUUUCCUCGGCGACGGAUUGCUCGAGGGAGAUACGCCUAGACCGCGUAUAAAAACGGGCGAGAUCGACGGGAAAGAGUGAUACGUCACCAACGUAUCGAUAAUUUAUGAAGUAUUAAUGUCAUUUUUGCUUAUGUUUACAAUACUUAUAUCGUUUUGCUGCACUUUAUAUGAUUUAUCUAGCACUAACCUGGAUUGAUGCUAUUUUCUGCAGAACUAUCGUGUAUUGUUUUUUGUGCAGAAUUAAAAUUUCUCGGAAUUAGGCGAAACUUUUUGAUGAUUUUUUGGAGGAAAAGAGAAAUAUUGGAGCAAAGAACCACCAGAGGGGGGGGGGCCUGGUGCCUACUAGACACCAGGGCGCGCCAGCCCACCCUUUGGUGGUGUGGUGUCUAGUGCGCCACUCGUGGCCCAUCUUGGCGUGAUUUCAAUGCCCAAAAAUCCUAUAAAUACAGAAACCUUCAGAAAUGACCCUAGACGAGAAAUUAAGCCGUUGUAGGGCCUAUGUAUCCACGAAAAACCAAUCUGGAGAUGUUCCAGUACCAUGCCGGGGAGGGUAAAUCAUCUCUGGUGGCUAUCUUCAUCAUCCCGUCGGCCACCAUGAUGAGCAGGGGGUAUUCCACCCUCGGGGCCGAGGAUUUGUACUAAUGGCUAUGUGUUUAAUCUAUCUCUCUCUCGUGUUCUUCAGAUGUCAUGAUGUUGAUUUAUCACGGGCCUUGUUAAUAUAGUUGUAUUAUAUGGUGUUUGUCCCAUGCUAUUGUUGUGAUGAAUUGAAUCUUUCACUUUAAGAUCUCGUUAUGUGGGAUUGAAUAUUCACGUUUGAGAGCACAUAAUAUAUGUUUUGCAUACGGAUACCCGUAGUGACAUUGCGGUAUUCAACUGAUUCACUUGAUAUAUGUUAUGGCAUCAACUCGCGGAUUCCCGAGGUGACAAUGGGGUAAUCUAGGCAUAGGGGUUGAUUGCAUGUUUUCAUAUUAUGUUCUUCGGUUGAAAUUGGUGCUGUCCUUGAAGUUCUUUGUGUUGGAUUGAGUAUUAUGAAUCUGAAUUUGUUUUGGUGCUAUUUUAGUACGAACUCUUGAUAGAUCGAUCAGAAAGGAUAAUUUGUUAUCUUAGUACGAACUCUUAGAAUGAUUGAUCAGACAAAAUAACUUUGAGGUGGUUUCGUACCCUACAAGCAAAUUCUUCUUAUCUUCUCUGCUAGAUAGGAACUUUGGAGUGAUUCUUCAUCACACGCUGAGGGAUUGUUAUAUCAUCUAACUAUGUUAGCAUUGUUGAGAGAUUGCACUAGCGAAAGUAUGGACCCUAGGCCUCAUUUUCAAGCAUUGCAACAAUGUUUAUGCUCACUUUUAUUACUUGCUACCUUGCUGUUUUUGUAUUUUUUAGAUUACAAAAACCUAUAUCUACUAUCAUUACUAUACUUGUAUCACCAUCUCUUCGCCUAACUAGUGCACCUAUACAAUUUACCAUUGUAUUUGGUUUGUCGGGGACACAAGAGACUUUUUAUUAUUGGGUAUUACAGUUGUUUGAGAGAGACCACCUUCAUCCUACGCCUCCCACGGAUUGAUAAACAUUAUGUCAUCCACUUGAGGGAAAUUUGCUACUAUCCUACAAAACUCUACGCUUGGAGGCCCAACACGAGUUUACAAGAACAAGUUACGUAGUAGAUAUCAAAGAGCUCCACACACUUUAGAUUUGCCACUUUUUCUUCCCCUCUCGCUUUCCACCAUCACGCUUCAGAGCUCCACCACGUCCGCGUCCACCACUAUCACGUCCCCCCGCCACGCGGUAUGUUGAAGGGCACGAUAGCGAAGACUGAGCGGGUCAAGAGGGGCUCACGAGAAUCUUCAUCGAGCGUCAGAGUGCUCCAGCUGGACUGGAUCCAGGGUGACUAGAUGUCGUCCCACGUGUCCAAGAGUCGUGUGCUAGAGCUGCAGGGCGAGGAGCUCAUGGCCCUAGGGAGCUGGCGACUGUCACGGGAGGGCGAGUAGGAGCCCGUGACACGAGGAGAUGAGUGAGUGCUCCUUGUGACCCACAUCGAGAGAGGUUUCUCCCUACCCCCGCAUGCUUUCUUCCGCGAAUUCCUCGAUUUCUUUGGCGUGAAGCUUCAUCAUCUCCCCUCGAAUGUCGUUUUUUAUCUGGCCACCUUUGUAUAUUUGUGUGAAAAUUUCCUCGGGUGUCAUCCGCAUUGGCGGUUGUUCAAACACCUGUUUAUGUGUCGAGUGAUGAUGGUGAAGAAGUCUUCUAAGUCGGGGGGGGGGGAGGAUGAACGUAGUGCAGCUCUGCGGUGGUUUAGGUAUCGAGCUUAGAUGGAAGAGUAGCUUCCCCAAAAUGUCCUUCCCCGAUUCUGUGAAGGAUUGGCAGGAUUCUUGGUUUUACUGCCAGGAUAUCCUAGUAGGUGAUGGUCAGUCGGGUCGUCCACCUUACUCGGCCGAGCGAGUCCAGUCGUCCCCUUCUUUGACCGUGUCGAAGGAGGAGAGGACAGAGGUUAACAUCUUGGUGAUUGCUCUGGUUGCGCUCUUGCGAAAGGGCAUCAACGGGAUGGAUCUUCUGGAGGUAUUCUUCUAGAGGAGGAUUCAACCCCUCCAAGCGAGGGCCCGCCCCAUGUGUAAGUACGAGGGGCUGAAUGAUCCGACCCGCGUUCACCCAGAGGAGCUCGGGGUCGAGGAGCUGGAGGGCAAGCUCAAGGCGAUAACUCCCGUGCGCGACAAUCCUAGGGGCACCAGACUCGUGCCUCCUUUCUUGGAGAAUAAUCCGUCGAAUGAGGUAACCCUUGUAUAAUUCAUCGAAGUGAAUUCAAUUGUCAUUGUCUUUUGUAUUUGUUAGUGAUCCCGCUUCUUUACUUUGAUAGGCCUUUACAACGUUAGUCAGCAACGUGGCAAUGGUCGAUCGCUCGCUGAUUGACGUCGAGAGAAACACCAAGAAUCCGGAGAGCUGGGAAGGCGGUGAGGACGAUGAUGAUAAGGAAAAACCCGAGGCGAGUGACAACUAGGAGGAGCAUGGAGACAAGUCGGAGUCCUCCCGUUUGACAAAGUCCGAUUUGAGGCACGCAGCAAGGCGUGCCAGGACCCUGGAGUCCGUACCGGGGGCACCAAUACUCCGAGUGUGGCAAGACCGACUGGGUCAGCCGUGCCAACCCAUAGCUCCAAACGGGGGUGUAGUGGGCCUAAGGUGUCACCACAGAAGGCUGCCAAGCAACCUAAGAUCACGGUCUCCAAGCCUCGUAAGGUCGUCAUUCCGCGAAUAAAGGUUGACGUGCCCAUGGCUUCAGCAUCAAUACUCUUAUCGAGUGACUGUAUUUUCUGAGUGAUAUUUCCUGAAUGAGGGCUGAUUUUCUUGUGGUUUUGUUGUAGAGCCGAUACUUCGACCAGUUCUCUCAAACCCAAGAGCUCGGACAAAGGGUCGGUUGAUGCCAACGUUGCUUCUUCGAAAGGUAUAUCAUGAGGUCAUAUGAACUUCAUUUGGGGCUUGAGAUUUCUUGUUGGAGCAGUUGCCGAGUGCCCCUUGACACUUUUAGGACUGCGAGAAGUGAUCGAGAUGGCACUGACAGUCUCUUCAGCUAUUGGGGACAUGGUGAAGGAGAGUGCCACUUCCAGCCGAUUGGCUGGGUCUUCGGCUGCUAAGGUUGUGACUCCCGUGCGGGAUGCUACUUCGGCCGAGGAGUCACUCGGAAUAGGUCUGACUGCCACUCCGUCUGGUCCUCCCAUGGCCAAUAUCUUUCAGAUGCACCAUAUCCCGAAGGAUCAAGAAGUCGCGCGCAAGGAGGCCCUAACGCAGCCACGGGUAAUGUUUGGGCGGCUGAAAGGGGCAUACGAUGCCCGCGAGGCUGUAGAGAAGAAUGUUUGGGUGAGUUCCUUUGGAGUGUUUUUCUUUUCUUGAUUCUGGUCCCGAUUGGGUUUGCAGGGAGCACGCCCACUUGGUGUUCACUUUCAGUGGGGGCACACUGAGCGCACCCAUUGGGUGUAGUCCCCGAGACUGUCGUCGACAAAGUCAGUCGGCGGCCUUCUUAGUUUCAAUAGCAAGUUGAGAGUCACUGACGGGGUAUAGGGCCCUUUGUCUCCCUUUUUAUUCUUCCAGUGGGGGCGCACUGAGCGCACCCACUUGGUGUAGUCCCCGAGACUGUCAUAGACUGGGUCAAUCGACAGUUGUCUUAGAGUCGCCAUAUUUUGUUUUUUUCAUCAUCGUAUUUGUUGUUGACAUAAUUCAUGUAUCUCGAGGGCUGUAAUGACGCCAUGGAGCAGGAGGUAUGGGACACGUGUCUCAGCCUUGACGCUCAAAGGGCUAAGAAUGAGCGCCUCGAGUAGGAGAACUUCACACUCAAAGGUAAGCUCUUAUAUCCGACUGUCUCAACAUUUGAAUCAUUUCCUCAUCCGAUUGAGGUUAUUUUACCAUAUCAACUUGCUGAGAGGUCGAAGACUUCUAUUUCCUUAGUUACUAUGGAGGACACCCUCGAGAAGAGGGAUGAAGACCUUGCGUCGGCCUGGAAGGAGGCCAACCAGAAGACCAAAGCAGGUGAAACCAAACUCAAGUCAUUCAAAAAGCUCGAGGAGGACAAACAACUCCUCGAAGUUGGUGCGAGGAAGUCCGUCGAAGAGCCUGCCGAGAUGAAAACACAUUACGCCGAAUGGGAGAACAAGUUCAAGGAGGUCACUACCAAGAAGCUCGAGAUGUAGCAGUUUGUCAAGGACUUCGGCAAGGAUAUGAGCGAGAAACUCAAAGGUAUGAUGCUGAUCCUAGUACUUCCUUGAGGUGUUUUCUUGUGGUUCCCGGGUGAUACCUGAUGUAUUUUGUCCUUUGCUUGUGUGCAGGAUUCUACGUCGAUAUCAAUGAGGAGAUCGACAAGAUUGAGAAGAAGCUCAACCCCAAGAGGGAACUCUUCAGAGAUAGCACCGCAUUGGCUGUUCUUCAGUUGGAGGAGCGCAUCGAAUGUGUGUCGGGCUGCGUCCAGUGGCUUGAGUCGGCUGUCUUGGAGAUCGACCAAGAGGUCUCCACUGGCAAGAAAUUCUCCAAGGACGUGCGAGCUCUUAUUGACCGAGUGAAAGCGGUUCCCAGUCAAAUGCAGUCGUGGAAGAAGUCAGCAGCCCGAGCCCGAGCUGACAUCGCCCUCUCGCUGGUCCGUAUCCAUUGCAAAGGAAUGCAUGAGGAGAAGUUGAAGAACCUCAAGGUUGCCAACAGAAAGAACGCCAAGUUCGAGGACUUCAUGGAGAUGUUCAUGGAGGCUGCCGCCCAUAUUGCUCAUAGGAUCGAGCUCGACACCUUUGUGGAAGCCGUGGUUCUGCCAUCCUCCGAGCGAUGCUUAGAGAAAGCUUUAAAUUUUAUUUUCCUCGGAAUGCCGAGUGGAUGAUUUACACCAAAAACUUUAAGUGAGCCUUGGGCUUUCGUUAUCCGUACUUUACUUUUAAUCACACUGUAGUUUUGUUUGCUACGAUUUCAUUAGAAUAUUGGUUUUUGAACCAAUGUUGGAUAUGUCCGUCAAGAGGUUCGAGUGAGGGUUAUGCCCUCACCCGGAGUCAUUUUUUACUUAGGCGAAAGUGUGUUCACAGAUAAGUCCCCGAGUGUGGAGUUCGUCCUCACUUGGGGCCGGUUUUACCUCAAGAGAAAUCAGGUUUGCAGCUAAGGAAUGAUUGUCCUGUUCAUCUUGGCAUCCGCGUGGGAGUCGGGUCCUCACUUGGAACCGUUUUUACUUAGGAGAAAACAGGUUCGCAGCUAAGCCCCCGAGCAUGGAGGUCGUCCUUACUCGGGGCAUGUUUUAUCUUAGGCGAAAACUGGUUCUCAACUAAGGAAUGAUUGUUCUGUUCAUCUUGGCAUUUAAGUGGGGGUCGGGCCCUCACUCGGAACCAUUUUAACUUAGGCGAAAGCAGGUUCGUAGCUAAGCCCCCGAGCGUGGAGGUCGUCCACACUCGGGGCCGGUUUUAUCUUUGCCAAAUUCUGGUCGCAACCAAGGUAAGGAGGUAGUUCUUCAAAACUUAAUGAUGGUCCUAUCCAUCUUGGGGUCUGAAUGAAGAUCAUGCCCUCAUUUGGAACCAGUUUUACUUAAGAGAAAGUGUGUUCACAACUAAGUGAUACGUAUCCGUCGUAUCUAUAAUUUUUGAUUGUUUCAUGCCAAUAUUUUACAACUUCCAUAUACUUAUGGAAACUUUUUAUACUAUUUUUGGGACUAACAUAUUGAUCGAGUGCCCAGUCCCAGUUCCUGUUUGUUGCAUGUUUUUCGUUUCGCAGAAAAUCCAUAUCAAACAAAGUCCAAACGGGAUAAAAACUUACGGAGAUUUUUUGGAAUAUAUGUAAAUUUUGGGAAGUGGAAUCAACACAAGGCGGUGCCCGAGGGGUCCACAAGCCAUAGGGGCGUGGUCUAGGGGGUAGGGCGCGCUAGGCUGGCUUGUGGCCACCCCGUAAGGCGGUUGGUGCCCUUCUUUCUCUACAAGUAAGCUAAUAUCUAGAUAAAAAUCGUGUUAACUUUUCAGCCCAACCAGAGUUACAGAUCUCCGGGAAUAUAAGGUGAAAGGCCAGAAUCUGGAACGCAGAAAAAUGCAGAAACAGAAAGAAACAGAGAGAGAGAUCCAAUCUCGGAGGGGUUCUCGCCAUGGAGGCCAAGGAACAGAGGGGAAACCCUCGUCCCAUCUAGGGGGAGGCCAAGGAAGAAAAAGGAGGGGGCUCUCUCCCCCUCUCUCCCGGUGGCACCGAAACACCGUCGGGGCCAUCAUCGUGACGGCGAUCUACACCAACAACUUCGCCGCCGUUAUCACCAACUCUCUCCCCCUCUAUGCAGUAGUGUAACACCCCUUCUCCCUGCCAUAAUCUCUACGUAAACAUGGUUCUCAACACUAUAUAUUAUUUCCCAAUGCUGUAUGGCUAUCGUAUGAUGUUUGAGUAGAUCCGUUUUGUCCUAUGGGUUGAUUGAUGAUCAUGAUUGGUUUGAGUUGCAUGUUUUAUUAUUGGUGCUGCCCUAUGGUGCUCUCCGUGUCGCGCAAGCGUGACGGAUCUCUGUUGUAGGGUGUUGCAAUGUGUUCAUGAUUUGCCUAUGGUGGGUUGCUUGAGUGACAGAAACAUAAAACCGAGUAGGUGGGUUGUUGCAUAUGGGAGUAAAGAGGACUUGAUACCUUAUAAUGCUAUGGUUGGUUUUACCUUAAUGAUCUUUAGUAGUUGUGGAUUCUUGCUAGAGUUCCAAUCAUAAGUGCAUAUGAUCCAAGUAGAGAAAUUAUGUUAGCUUAUGCCUCUCCCUCAUAUAAAAUUGCAAUAAUGAUUACUGGUCUAGUUAUCGAUUACCUAGGGACAAAUAAACUUAUUGUGACAAAAAGAUCUCUACUAAGACUAACAUAAUUGUUUCUUUAUCUAAGCAGACCCUAGUUUUUAUUUACCUGUUCUUUAUUUUCUUGCAAACCUAUCCUAUCAUGCCUACAAAGUACUUCUAGUUUCAUACUUGUUCUAGGUAAAGCGAACGUUAAGCGUGCGUAGAGUUCUAUCGGUGGUCGAUAGAACUCUACCUUUAGCUCCUCGUUGGGUUCGACACUCUUACUUGGUGAGAAAGGCUACAAUUGAUCCCCUAUACUUGUUGGUUAUCAAGACCUUUUUCUGGCGCCGUUGUUGGGGAGCAAUAGUGUGGGGUGAAUAUUGUCGUGUGUGUUUGUUUGCCUUAUCACUAAGUAGAUUUUAUUUGUUGUUUAAGUUGUUCUCUAUCUUUAGUUAUGGAUAUGGAACAUGAAAUACCAAAAAAUUAGGUAUACUUGCUACUCAUGGAGAUGGGGAACCUCCUAAAACCCUCGAUGCUCAUUAUGUGGAAGAUAUUAUGCACUACUUUAAUAAACCUGACAAAACCCAUUCAAUUAUAUAAUGAAAGACACGUUGGAUCAACGUGAAUACUUUAUGGAUUAUCGCUUGACUCAAAAAGGGAAAAUGUUAUGGGAUCAAAUUCAUUUGUGGAAAUGGUCUGCUUGGAAUCUAGGCUUGAGAUAUGAUAUUACUUGUUGCUCUAGGAUGAAGACUAAACACCUUCCAUUUUCAUGUAAAUUUAAUGAUAAUGAAACCUUGGUUUCUUAUGCUAAUGGUAUAUAUGAUUACUAUGAUGUGGAACAAAUAGAAGAGUUUGUUGCUUUUAAGAGUGCUUAUGAAAUUGAAGCUUUGUUUGAAAAGUAUGAAGAUUAUGAUGAUGUUGUUUACUGAUCUCAAAAUUUGGCUAUUCUUCGUUAUUGUUAUGCCAAUUAUGAAUAUAAUGCCCAUAUUGAUAGAUUUAUUGAGAAAGUCUCCGCUAUCCAAGAGGAGACUAAUAUUUUGCAGGAAUCUAUGGAAGAAGAAAUUGAUGACACUGUGAGCUCAUUGGAUGAAAAUGAUGAGGAGGAGAGCAAAGAACAAAAGGAGGAAGAGCGGAUUAGCUACCCGUGCCCACCUUCUAAUGAGAGUAACACUUGAACUCAUACAUUGGUUAAUUUCCCUUCGUGCUUACCGAAGGAUGAAUGCUAUGAUCAUUGCUAUGAUCCCUUGGAUUCAUUUGAAAUAUCCCUUUUUGAUGAACUUGAUGCUUGCUAUGCUUGUGGCAUUAUGCCAAUAUGAAUGAUGAUUAUGGAUAUUCACUUGCUAUAGUUCCUUAUGUUAAGAAUGAAAUUGUUGCUAUUGUACCCACACAUGAUAGUCCUAUUAUCUUUUUGAAUUUUCCCAACUACAUUAUAUUGGAGAAGUUUGCACUUAUUAAGGAUUAUUUAGAUGGGUUGCCUUUUACUAUUACACAUGAUGAUUUUGAUAGAUAUAAUAUGCAUGUGCUUGCUGCUCCUACUUGCAAUUAUUAUGAUAGAGGAACUACCUCCACCUCUCUAUGUUUCCAAUACGAUAAAAUUUCAAGAAAUUGUUUAUACUAUGCAUUGGCCUUUACAUUGUGUGCAUGAAUUGUUCUUUUAUGACAUGCCGAUGCAUAGGAAGAGAGUUAGACUUCGUUGUUGUGUGAUACAUGUUAAUUUGUGCUCACUACUAGAUUACAAAUCAAUGUUAAUUAAAAUUGCCUUUGAUAUACCUUGGGAUCCGGGUGGAUCAAUUACUUGAGAACUUUAUGCCUAGCUUAAUGGCUUUAAAAAAAGUGCUGCCAGGGAGUCAACCCGGAAGUUCUAGAGAGUCAUUUUAUUAUGUUGUGUGCUUUUAUAUAGUUUUUCAAAAAACAAAAAAGGAGGGGAACCUAAAACGUUUUCAAAAACAAAAGUGAAAGUGAGAGAGACGAGCAUUGUUAAAAUAGGAGCGUGCCUUGAACUUUGUUCAUGCCCAUGGAAACCUUGUGAAUCUUAAAAACAGGAACUUUUCAACCAAAAUAAUUAUCCCCUUGUAUAAAUCCAUUGUAUUAUAAAAAUAAUGUGCCAAGAUUUUCCUUUAGGAUGAUUAGAUUGCUUGUUUGGUGUGUGCAGUGCAAAAACAGAAACUUUGGCUGUAGUGCGUGAAUUUACAUUUUUACUGCAAUAUCAAAAGUUUGUAAUUUUUUUUUACACAUUACUUAUAUGGAAUUUUUUAUUUCUUCCUAAUUUUUCAGAAAUUUUAGAGUUACGGAAGUACGGUGAAUGUACAGAUUACUACAGACUGUCCUGUUUUUGACAGAUUCUGUUUUUGAUGCAUUGUUUUGCUCGUUUUGAUGAAACCAUCGAUUGUGUCGGUGGUAUAAGCCAUGGAAAAGUUAUAUUACAGUAGAUACUAUGCAAAAACAAAAUAUGAAUUGGUUGGCAACAAUACUUAAAGUUAUAAUUUGCUUCAUUAUUACUAACGGAUCUCACGAGGGUUUUGUUAUGUUUUGUGUGAUUGAAGUUUUCAAGUUUUGGGCGAGAUCACGAUGGAUGAAGGAAUAAGGAGUUGAAAGAGAUUAAGCUUGGGGAUGCCCGAGGCAACCCAAGGUAAUAUUCAAGGACUCCCAAGUAACUAAGCUUGGGGAUGCCCCAGAUGGCAUCCCCUCUUUCUUCUAACAACCAUCGGUAAUUUUACUUGGAGCUAUAUUUUUAUUCGUCAGAUGAUAUGCGUAAAUCUUGGAGCGUUGUGUGCUUUUUAUUUUUAUUUUAAUAAUGCACCAUUCUGGUAUGAGAAAGUCCUCGGUUUAUUUAUAGAAGGCUCUUUGCACCUCACUUAUAUCUUUUGAGUAUGGCUUUAUAGAAUGCUUCAUGUGCUUCACUUAUAUCAUUUGAAGUUUGGAUUGCCUGUUUCACUACACAUAGAAAACAACCAUUUGUAGAAUGCUCUUUUGCUUCACUUAUAUUUGUUAGAGCAUGGGCAUAUCUUUUGUACAAAGAAUUAAACUCUCAUGCUUCACCUAUAUCUAUUUAGAGAGUUAACAGGAGUUGGUCAUUCACAUGGUUAGUCAUAAAAUCCUACAUAAAACAUCUAGAUCACUUAAUAUGAUAUGUUUGAUUCCUUGCAAUAGUUUUGCGAUAUAAAGAUGGUGAUAUUAGAGUCAUGCUAGUGAAUAAUUGUGGAUUGGUAGAAAUAUUUGUGUUAAAGUUUGUGAUUCCCGUAGCAUGCACGUAUGGUGAACCGUUAUGUGAAGAAGUCGGAGCAUGAUUUAUUUAUUGAUUGUUAUCCUUUGUGUGGAGGUCGGGAUCACGCGGUGGUUAAUUCCUACCAACCUUUCCCCUAGGAGUAUGCGUGUAGUACCUUGUUUCCAUGACUAAUAAUUUUUUGCAAUAAGUAUGUGUGUUCUUUAUGACUAAUGUUGAGUGCAUGGAUUAUACUCACUCUUACCCUUCCACAUUUGCUAGCCUCUCUAGUAUCGCACAACUUCCACCGGUGCAUUAAACCCAGCUUCCUCAAAACAGCCAUCCUAUACCUUCGUCAAAAACAGCCAGCAUACCAACCUAUCAUGGCAUUUCCAUAGCCAUUCCGAGAUAUAUUGCCAUGCAACUUUCACCGGUUUGUUUAUUAUGAAACGCACCAUAAUUGUCAUAUUUCUUUCCAUGAUUGUAAGAUAGCUAGCAUGAUGUUUUCAUGGCUUGUCCAUUUUUGAUAUCAUUGCUAUGCUAGAUCAUUGCACAUCCCAGUACACUUUCGGAAGCAUUCAUAUAGAGACAUAUUUUGUUCUAGUAUCGAGUUGUAAUUCUUGAGUUGUAAGUAAAUAAAAGUGUGAUGAUCAUCAUUAUUAGAGCAUUGUCCCAUGUGAGGAAAGGAUGAUGGAAUCUAUGAUUCCCUCACAAGUUGGGAUGAGUCUCCGGACUUCAUGAUAAAUAAAAGAGGCCAAAGAAGCCCAAAAAAAGAGGCCAAAGAAGCCCACCAAAAAAAGGGAGAAAAUAAAAAUAAAUAAAUAAAAAUGAGAGAAAAGAGAGAAGGGGCAAUGCUAAUAUUCCUUUUUCCACACUUGUGCUUCAAAGUAGCACCAUGAUCUUCAUGAUAGAUAGUCUCCUAUAUUAUCACUUUCAUAUACUAGUGGGAAUUUUUCAUUAUAGAACUUGGCUUGUAUAUUCCAAUGGCGGGCUUCCUCAAAUUUCCCUAGGUCUUCGUGAGCAAGGGAGUUGGAUGCACACCCACUUAGUUUUUUAGAUUUCAUACACUUAUAGCUCUAGUGCAUCUGUUGCAUGGCAAUCCCUACUCACUCACAUUGAUAUCUAUUGAGGGGCAUCUCGAUAGCGCGUUGAUACGCCUAUUUGAUGUGAGACUAUCUCUUUCUUUUUGUCUUCUCCACAACCUCCGCCAUAUUCUAUUCCACCUAUAGUGCUAUACCCAUGGAUCACGCUCAUGUAUUGCAUGAAAGUUGGAAAGUUUGAGAAUACUAAAGUAUGAAACAAUUGCUUGGCUAAAACCGAGGUUAUGCAUGAUUUAAUACUUUGAGUGAUGAAGAUGGAGCAUAGCCAGACUAUAUGCUUUUGUAGGGAUAACUUUCUUUUAGCCAUGAUAUUUUGAGAAGACAUGAUUGCUUUAUUAGUAUGCUUGAAGUAUUAUUGUCUUAAUGUCAAAUGAUAGACUAUUGCUAUGAAUCACUCGUGUCUUAAUAUUCAUGCCAUGACUAGAUUAUACGAUGAAGAUUACGCUAGGUAGAAUUCCACAUCAAAAAUUAUUAUUUUUAUCAUCUACCUACUCGAAGACGAGCAUGAAUUAAUCUUUGAGAUGUUGAUACGUCUCCGUCGUAUCUAUAAUUUUUGAUUGUUUCAUGCCAAUACUCUACAACUUUUAUAUACUUUUGGUAACUUUUUAUACUAUUUUUGGGACUAACAUAUUGAUCCAGUGCCGAGUGCCAGUUCCUGUUUGUUGCUUGUUUUUUGUUUCGCAGAAAAUGCAUGUCAAACGAAGUCCAAACGGGAUAAAAACUUACGAAGAAUUUUUUUGGAAUAUAUGUGAAUUUUGGGAAGUGGAAUGAAGAGAAGGCGGUGCCCGAGGGUCCCACAAGCCAUAGGGGUGCGACCUGGGGGUAGGGCGCGCCAAGCUAGCUUGUAGCCACCCCGUAAAGAAGUUGGUGCCCUUAUUUCGCCGCAACAAAGGUAAUAUCCGGAUAAAAAUCGUGUAAAACUUUCAGCUGACUUGGAGUUACGGAUCUCCAAGAAUAUAAGAAACGAUGAAAGGCCAGAAUCUGGAACACGAAAAAACACAGAUACAAAGAGAGCGAUCCAAUCUCGGAGGGGCUCUCGCCCGUCCGCCGCCAUGGAGGCCAAGGACCAGAGAGGAAACCCUCCUUCCAUCUAGGGGGAGUCCAAGGAAGAAGAAGAAGGAGGGGGCCCUCUCUCCCUCUCUCCCGGUGGCACCGGAACGCCAUGAGGCCAUCAUUGUGACGACGAUCUACACCAACAACUUUGCCGCCCUCAUCACCAACUCUCUCCCCCUCUAUGCAGCGGUAUAACACCCCUUCUCCCUGUUGUAAUCUCUACUUAAACAUGGUGCUCAACGCUAUAUAUUAUUUCCCAAUGCUGUAUGGCUAUCCUAUGAUGUUUGGGUAGAUCCAUUUUGUCCUAUGGGUUGAUUGAUGAUCAUAAUUUGUUUGAAUUGCAUAUUUUAUUAUUGGUGAUGUCCUAUAGUGCUCCCCGUGUCGCGCAAGCAUGAGGGAUCCCCGUUGUAGGGUGUUGCAAUGUGUUCAUGAUUUGCCUAUGGUGUGUUGCUUGAGUGACAGAAGCAUAAACCCAAGUAGGUGGGUUGUUGCAUAUGGGAGUAAAGAGGACUUCAUACCUUAUAAUUCUAUGGUUGGGUUUACCUUAAUGAUCUUUACUAGUUGCGGAUGCUUGCUAGAGUUCCAAUUAUAAGUGCAUAUGAUCCAAGUAGAGAAAGUAUGUUAGCUUAUGCCUCUCCCUCAUAUAAAAUUGCAAUAAUUAUUACCGGUCUAGUUACCGAUUGCCUAGGGACAAAUAGCCUUCUUGUGACAAAAAUAUCUCUACUAAGACUAACUUAGUUGUUUAUUUAUCUAAGCAGCCCCUAGUUUUUAUUUACGUGUUCUUUAUUUCCUUGCAAACCUAUCCUAUCACGCCUACAAAGUACUUCUAGUUUCAUACUUGUUCUAGGUAAAGCGAAUGUUAAGCGUGCGUAGAGUUGUAUCAGUGGUCGAUAGAACUUGAGGUAAUACUUGUUCUACCUUUAGCUCCUCGUUGGGUUCGACACUCUUACUUAUCGAGAAAGGCUACAAUUGAUCUGCUAUACUUGUGGGUUAUCACUGAGCCCCCAAGCGUGGAGGUCGUCCUCACUCGGGGCAGGUUUUACCUUUGCAGAAAACAAGUUCGCAACUAAGGAGUGAUUGUUCUGUUCAUCUUGGCAUCCGAGUGGGGGUUGGGAUCUCACUAGGAACCGUUAUAACUUAGGCGAAAGCAGGGUCGCAGCUAAACCCCCGAGCAUGGAGGUCGUCCUCACUCAAGGCCGGUUUUAUCAUAGGCGAAUUAUGGUCGCAACCAAGAUAAGAAGGUAGUUCUUGCAAACUUAAUGAUGGUCAUAUCUACCUUGGUGUCCGAAUGAAGAUCAUGUCCUCAUUCAGAACAGUUUUGACUUAGGUGAACGUGUCUUAGCAUCUGAGCCCCCAAGCGUGGAGGUCGUCCUCACUCGGGGUAGGUUUUACCUUAGGCGAAAACAGGUUCCUGGCUGAGGAGUGAUUGUUAUAUUCAUCUUGGCAUUCAAGUGGGGGUCGGUCCCUCACUCGAAACCGUCUUAACCUUAGGCGUAAGCAGGUUCGCAGCUAAGUCCCCGAGAAUGGACGUCGUCCUCACUCGGGGCCGGUUUUAUGUUAGGCGAAUUCUGGUCGCAACCAAGAUGAGAAGGUAGUUCUUGGGAUCUUAAUGAUGGUCAUGUACAUCUUGGUUCCCGAGUGAAGAUCAUGUCACCAUUCAAAACUGUUUUUGUUGUAAAUAUGCCCUAGAGGCAAUAAUAAAUUGGUUAUUAUUAUAUUUCCUUGUUCACGAUAAUCGUUUAUUAUCCAUGCUAGAAUUGUAUUGAUUGCAAACUCAGAUACAUGUGAGGAUACAUAGACAACACACUGUCCCUAGUGAGCCUCUGGAGGAUUAGCUCGUUGAGAAAAUAUGGUCAAGGUUUCCUGGCCAUAGACAUGAGAUGUUGUUUGAUAACGGGAUCACAUCAUUAGGAGAAUGAUGUGGCGGACAAGACCCAAACCAUGAAUGUAGCAUGUGAUCGUGUCAGUUUAUUGCUACUAUUUUCUGAAUGUCAAGUAUCUCUUUCUAUGACCAUGUGAACAUGAAACUCUCGGGCACCAGAGGAAUACCUUGUGUGUAUCAAACGCUGCAAUGUAACUGGGUGACUAUAAAGGGGCUCUAAAGGUAUCUCAGAGGGUGUUUGUUGGGUUGGUGUGAAUCAAGACUAGGAUUUGUCACUCCUUGUGAUAGAGAGGUAUCUCAGGUCCCACUCGGUAAUAAAAACAUCACAACAAGCUUGCAAGCAAUGUGUCUAAGGACUUAGUCACGGGAUAUUGUAUUACAGAACGAGUAAAUAGACUUGCCGGUAACGAGAUUGAGGUAGGUAUGGAGAUACCGAUGAUCGAAUCUCAGGCAAGUAACAUACCGAUAGACAAAGGGAAUUGUAUACGGGAUUGAUUGAAUCCUUGACAUCGUGGUUCGACCGAUAAAUAUCUUUGUAAAAUAUGUAGGAGCCAAUAUGGACAUCCAGGUCCCGCUAUUGGUUAUUGUUCGGAGAGUGUCUCGGUCAUGUCUGCAUAGUUCUCGAACCCGCGGGGUCUGCACACUUAAGGUUCGGUGAUGAUUUGGUAUUAGUGAGUUAUGUUUGAUGGUAACAGAAUGUUGUUCUGUUUCCCGGAUGAGAUUUCGGACGCCACGAGGAGCUCCGGGAUGGUCCGGAGAUAAAGAUUUAUAUAUGGGAAGUCAGAUUUUAGCUACCAAAAAAGUUUGAGGUUAUUCCGGUAUUGUACCGAGAAGCUUCUAGAAGGUUCUGAAAACUUUCGGAGGAGUCCGGAAGUCCACAAAGGGUUCUCCCACGUCCCAAGGGUUUGGAUGGGCUGAGGAGAGACAUCGUGGCCUUUUUCGGCCAAGCGCACAAGUCCCUCAAGGCCCAUGUAGUUGGGAAAGGUGGAAAGUCCACCUUUGUAUGGAAGGGAAGGAGGGGGACUAGGAUUCCACCUCCUCCACCCUUGGAUGCGCCCUAGGGCUUGGAGGGGCUGUUCCCCACGCCCUACACAUAUAUGUAGAGGGGAGGGGGCGCCCCAAGAGGACACACGAAGCCCUUGGCGCCCCUCUCUCUUCCUAGAUCGUUUUCUCCUCCGUUCGCGGUUUCGGUAGCGCUAGGCGUAGCCCUGCCGGGAUAGCACCACCACCACCGCCACCAUGUUGUGGUGUUGCCGGAGAACUCAUCUACCUCUCCGUCCUUGCUUGCUAGAUCAAGGAGGUGGAGAACGUCAUCGAGUUGUACCUAUGCUGAACGCGGAGGUAUCGCCCGUUCAACACUAGAUCGGGAUGGAUCAUGAUGUGAUCACGGGACGGAUUGCUAUUUGGAUCGCGAAGAUGUUUGACUACAUCAACCACAUUAUAUAUGCUUCUCCUUAGCGGUCUACAAGGGUAUGUGCAUCCGAUCUCUCCUAUUGUAGAUGCUCAUCACCAUGGAUAGAUCUUGUGUGUGUGUAUGAAAUUUUUUGUUUCCCAUGCAAUGUUCCCCGAAAGUGGCAUCAUGAGCUAGGUCUAUGCAUAGAUGACAUCUCGAGGUGAACACAAAGGAGUUUGUGGGCGUUGAUAUUCAGAUUGCUUCCGUCCUUAGUCUUUUCUUGAUUUGGCGGUAUUGUUGGAUGAAGCGUCCCGGACCAACAUUACUCGUACGCUUACGAGAGACCGGUUCCAUCGACUGACAUGCAACUUGUUGCAUAAAGAUGGCUGGCGGGUGUCUAUUUCUCCUACUUUAGUUGAAUCGGAUUUGACAGAAGCGGUCCUCGGAGAAGGUUAAAUAGCAACUUGUGUAUUACCAUUGUGGUUUUGGGUAAGUCAGAUGCGAUCAUGCUAGAUACCCAUAGAAGCCACGUAAAACAUGCAACAACAAAUUAGAGGAUGUCUAACUUGUUUUUGCAGGGUACGUUGUAAUAUGAUAUGGCCAAAGACAUGAUAUGAUAUAUUUGAUGUAUGAGAUGACCAUGUUGUAAUAGUUAAAUAUCGACUUGCACGUCGAUGCUACGACAACCAGCAUGAGCCAUAGGGUUGUCUUUAACUAUUUUUGCGCCCAAUGAUGCUUUACUUUAUCGCUAGUACGAUAGCUUUAGUAUUAACAACAUAGGUGGUGCGGCGACCUCGAUGGCAGCACAAUGAUGGAGAUCAUGGUGUGGCGCCAGUGAUGAUGGAGUUCACGCCGGUGCUAUGGUGAUGGAGAUCAAGAAGCACAAGUUCAUGGCCAUAUCAUGUCACUUAUGAUUUGCAUGUGAUGUUAAUCCUUUUAUGCACCUUAUUUUGCUUAGCACGAUGGUAGCAUUAUAAGGUGAUCCCUCACUAAAAUUUCAAGAUAAAAUUGUGUUCUCCCCGAGUGUGCACCGUUGCGACAGUUUGUUGUUUAGAGACACCACGUGAUGAUCGGGUGUGACAGACUCUACGUUCACAUACAACGGGUGCAAAAUAGUUGCACACGCGGAACACUCGGGUUAAACUUGACGAGCCUAGCAUGUACAGACAUAGCCUCGGAGCACAAGAGACCGAAAUGUUGAACAUGAGUCAUAUAGUAGAUAUGAUCAACAUAGAGAUGUUCACCAUUGAAGCUAACUCAACUAACAUGAUGAUCGGACUUGAGUUAGUGAAUUUGGAUCAUGUCUCACUUGAAUGACUAGAGGGAUGUCAAUUUGAGUGGGAGUUCUUAAGUAAUAUGAUUAAUUGAACUUAUUAUCAUGAACAUAGUCAAUAUGUCUUUGCAAAUUAUGUUGUAGCUUCCGCUGUAGCUCCACUGUUUUUUAUAUGUUCCUAGAGAAAACUUAGUUGAAAGAUGAUAGUACCAAUUAUGAGGACUCGAUCCAUAAACUGAGGAUUGUCCUCAUGACUUCAUAGAAGGCUUAUGUCCUUAAUGCACCGCUUGGUGUGCUACCCCUAAGAAUCGUAUGUGGAUGUUGUGAACAUCUCACAUGCAUGUUUUGAUGACUACGUGAUAGUUAAGUGCGUAAUGCUUAACAGCUUAGAAUUGAGGAGCCAAGACGUUUUUGAACGUCACGGAACAUAUAAGAUGUUCCAAGAGCUGAGAUUUGGAUUUUAGGCUCGUGCCCGUGUGGAGAGGUAUGAGACCUCCGACAAGAUUCUUUGUCUACGAAGUAAUGAGCAUGUGCUCAGAUUGUCUGAGUACUACAGUCGCUUGAAUCGAGUGGGAGUUGAUCUUCGUGAUAAGAUAGUGAUUGACAUAGUUCUCCAAAGUAACUCCCACCAAGCUACUGGAGCUUCGUGAUGAACUAUAGCAUAUCAGGGAUACACAAGAUGAUCCUUGAGUUAUUCGCGAUAUUUGACACCGCGAAAGUAGAAAUCAAGUAGGAGCAUCGAUUGUUGAUGGUUAGUAAAACCACUAGUUUCAAGAAGGGCAAAGGGCAAGAAGGGAUACUUCAUGAAUGGAAAACAUGUUGCCACUCUAGUAAAGAAACCCAAGGUUGAAUCCAGACCUGAGACUAAGUGCUUAUGUGAUGAGGGGAACGGUCACUGAAGCGGAACUACCCAAGCUACUUGGUAGAUAAGAAGGCUGGCAUAGUCGACGGAAGUAUGUUGGAUAUACGUGAUAUUGAUGUGUACCUUGCUAGUACUCCUAGUAGCACUGUGGUAUUAGAUACCGGUUUAGUUGCUAAGUGUUAGUAACUCGAAAUUAUAGCUAUAGAAUAAAUGACUAGUAGCAAGGGGUGAUGUGACGAUGUGUGUUGGAAGUAAUUCCAAGGUUGAUGUGAUCAAACAUCACACGCUCCCUCUACCAUCAGGAUUAGUGUUGAACCUAAAUAAUUUUUAUUUGGUAUUUGCGUUGAACAUAGACAUGAUUAGAUUGUGUUAAUUGCAAUACAAUUAUUCAUUUAAAGAGAAUAAUAGUUACUCUGUUUAAUUGAAUAAUACCUUCAAUGGUCUUGCACCUAAAAUGAAUGGUUUAUUGAAUCUCGAUCGUAGUGAUACACAUGCUCAUAAAAUUGAUGCCAAAAGAUACGAAGUAGUAAUGAUAGUACCACUUACUAGUGGUACUGUCGCCUGAGUCAUAUUAGUAUAAACACAUGAAGAAACUCCAUGCAGAUGGAUUGUUUAGACUUAGUUGAUUUUGAAUCACUUGAGACAUGCAAAUCAUGCCACAUGGGCAAGAUGACUGAAGGCCUCGUUUUCAGUGAGAUGGAACGAGUAAGUGACUUGUUGGAAAUAAUACAUAUUGAUGUAUGCAAUCCAAUGAGUGCUGAGGCACGCAGUGGAUAUCAUUAUGUUAUUACUUCACUCAUGAUUUGAUUAGAUACCCGAGUAUUUUCUUGAUGAAUUACAAGUCUGAAAUAUUGAAAAGUUCAAGCAAUUUCAGAGUGAAGUUGAAGAUUGUUGUGACAAGAGGAUAAUAUGUCUACGAUGUGAUCAUGGAGAUAAAUAUAUAUCCGAGUUGCGAUUUUGGUAAACAUUUAAGACACUGUGAAAAUUGUUUCACAACUCAUGCCACCUGGAACACCAUAGUGUGAUGGUGUGUCCGAACGUCAUAGCCGCGCCCUAUUCGAUAUGGUGCAUAAUAUGAUGUCUCCUAUCGAAUUACCACUACCAAUUUUUGGUUAGGAAUUAGAGACAACCGCAUGCACUUUAAAUAGGGUGUCAGAUUUCGGGCUCUGCAAAACCUUAAAGAUUCGUAACCAGGGGUGCGCAUGGAGACCACUGGGCAGUUUCGGUUCACCCGACUCUCUACUCGAUGAACAAGGCAAAGAACUCACUCAAUGGUGAGGGAGACACAAGACACGACAGUUUACCCAGGUACAGGCCGCUGGGAAGCGUAAUACCCUACUCCUGCUUUGGUUGAUUGCCUCUCGUUGAGGUUGGCAGAUGAACUAGUCCAAUGCUCGUGAGCCUCCGGAGGCUGGGUGGUUAUGUGUGAGGCCCGUGGGUGAUUCAAUGGAUCGAUCCACCUUCUACAGAGCAAUCUAUCCUCUAUAUAUAGUGGCGGCCCGGGUCCUCUUCCUGUAUCGCUUCGGCUGGAAGGGAUCCCACAAUGGCCAAUUUUAACGGGGGACACUGGAACGUGGUUCCCUACCCCAAAGGUGGUCUUUGCGUGCAAAAGUGGCUGAUGGCCGAGCAGGGACGGGCCGAGGGGUGACGUCCGUCCAACCGACGGGCAGCGAUGGCCUUGUUGUACCAGAAUGGAAACCUUUGAGAGAUGCCUUCGGAACCCGCGUACGUCCUUCCCUCCUUUGCACGAAAGGGGAAACUGCACCGUCCUGCAAUCCGCUUCUCGGACAUCCCUUCUCCGCAUCAUCCAUGACUCCUGAGGUUGGGCCUUGCCUCGGUAUCUCUACCGCUCCAGAGGGGUCCUAAGGAGGCCCCAUGUGGGUCUUUAAGCUGCUCCUCCUCGCCAGGCUUGGACCCUCGCGAGGGUCUUGCCUUGAGGGGCGUCGGGCCUGUUGGUUUUGGUCGAUGAAGUGGGCCAGCCCUGCCCCAUAGGCAGGCAGGUCUGGGUACCCCCACUUCCAGAACACCGACAGUAGCCCCCGGGCCCAAGGCGCGCCUGGGCUAGCUUCUCGGCGAAGCCUUGAGGGCGGUUUGAAGCAUCACGGGACCUAUUUGCCUGUGCGGUAGGCGGCACACGUGUCCGGCAACCAUGUGGGGAAGCUUCCAGUUCCCAAGACGCUCGGAGAAACACGUGGUCAAACUGAUGGGACGCCCGGGUGCUGCGCCAGCCAUCAUUGCGCCUUGGAGGCGCCUCCUCUUUGCACGCCACGUGGGCGCGCUCCCACAUGAACUACGUGGUCCCAAGAACACGGAGGGGCACCAGUGUGCCAUUGGCUGUAUAUUUAACCUGGCGAGGGUGAUAAGGUUUGCAUUGCCUUCGCUUUCCCCAUCUCCUGCCUCGAGCCUUCCACCCUCUCAGCAUGGUGCCGGUGAGGAGGUUCUCCGCUACAGAGAAGGGGAAGGUUUCGCCGCCCUGCCAUCCAAGAGGGGUCGUGGCCGCCCUCGGAAGUACAUGGUGGUGACGAUGGCCGCCUCCGACGAGCGCGGCCGUGGUUCUGCCCGUCCUGGGAUCACCAUCAGCGGUGUCGGUGGGGAGCCGAUGAGCGUGAGCACGUGCGGUGGCCGAGGUGGGAGGUCGGCGGUGGCCUCCCGGCCGCCACGCCCGCAGCUCCAUUCAAACGACACGGUGACGGAGUUCGUGAUGUGGGUGGAUAUGCCAGAAACUACCUGGCUCCAGCUCCCAAGCUUCUUCGCGAAGGCGCUGCCGACCGACGGGCUCCCACGCCUCUGUUUGCAGGCCGAUGGCUGCUGCGACGGGGCGUCCUGGGUGGAGGUCGAGGUCACCCCCGUGGCUACGUGUACCUAAACUGCGGGUGGCAGACGUUCGCCCGCGCUCGGGGCCUGAAGGGGAGGUGCUACCUCCACUUCAAGUUUGACGGGGAAUCGACGAUCUUCGUCAAGAUCUUCGGGGAUGAGGGUGAGCGUCUGAGCUGCUGCCCAGAGGACGUUGGCCGCCACAGUCCUAUAGAUGAGCCAAUCUCCGACGGCAUGCGUCGUACCUCCAGCAGAAGCGACACCUCCUCCGAAGGAAGCCCGAGCGACAGCAGCUACGACGAGCCACCUUGUUGUCGCGCUCGAGCCACGGUAGGGAGCCCCAAGCGUGGCGCCACUCGUCUGCUCCCGUGGCACCUGUGAAGGAGGACGACGACGCGGACUAAGCGUCGGCGCAUAGGCGUCGGGCAUCUGCGGCGGCAGCUCUCCCCCCUUUGGGGCCGCCAUCGCUGGCUGUUUCCUCCAUACUCCUAAUCCUGCAUCCAUGAAAACAAGGAUAGGCCCUUUCGGAAUGUAAUGGAUUUAGGUGACCACCCCUUUUGUUAGUACUGUUGCAUCUGAUCGGUUUGGAUACAUAGCUUGGCGUGCUUGCGAUGGAUCUCUUUGGUUGUGAGGCGUGAUUGUGGCGCCCGAGGGGCUUGUUGCUCAGUUGGCUUCUCCUUGUUGCGGGUGAAGUGGGUCGAUGCUGUAUCUCAGCAGGUCCCAGUCCCGCACAUUUUCCUGCCGCCGUGAGGCAUGACCCGUUACCAAGGUCGCUCCUCAUGGGGCAAGACCCUGACCCCCGUGAUACCGAUCGAAUGCGCCUGAACGGCGCCAGGGUGGCCAAGUGGCUUUGCGACCGAUUAGGCUCCUGAGGCGUGAUGCUCAAGAGCCCCCUUAGACAUUCAAGCGACUCUACGUCGACAGGUCCCAGUCCCGCACAUUUCCCUGCCGUGAGGCACGACCCGUUAAGGUCGCACCUCACGGGACAAGGCCCUGGCACCCGGGUGCCAAGUGACUUUGUGACCGGUAAGGCUCUUGAGGCGCGAUGCUCAUGAGCCCCCUGAGACGUUCAAGAGGCCCUCGUGGAUUUUUCUUUCUGCAUUUGAAGGGUCAGGUUUUUGGAGUUCCUUAGCCUGCAUUCAAGAAGCUCUGCGUCAGCAGGUCCCAGUACCGCACAUCUCCGUGCCGUUGUGAGGCACGACCCAUUACCAAGGUCGUUCCUCAUGGGGCAAGGCCCUGGCACCAGCGUGCCAAGUGGCUUUGUGACCGGUAAGGGUCCUGAGGCGCGAUGCUCAGGAGCCCCCUUAGGCGCUGAAGCUGUCCCAAGAGAAACGACUGUUGUAAGAAAAGACAAAAUAUUGUUCCCUCUCCAGGAUGGUGAGCCGAGCCGUGAAUGGGACUCUUGAGCGAGUAUCAGAUGGCAUGAGUCUACCGACUCGCCCGUGAGUGCCCCGCGAGGGUCCGGGCGCCAAGGCCUUGGCGAGGUGCUGGCAUCGUGCCCCUAGCCCCCGCUCGCAGGGUACGAGCGGGUGGGGACAGGCAAAUGCUUGACUCAGAGGAAGAGAGCGUGUUUGAAGAACGACCAAGAAAACAGGUUUUCAUAAAGACUUCAUUUGGAAAGGCCCCGAGUUUGAUUUUGUAAACAUCAACAAAUCCAAGCCAGAAAAAGCAAAUUAAAGCCGUGUCCGGCACCUAAUCUGUUCACCGCCUCCGUCUCCCCCCAGUGCUGAGCAAAUGUCUUCCACUAAGCGCGGGAUGGACCCCUUCCGCGUCCUCGGGGGGACCUGGGCGUAUACAACCUUGGCUAGUUAUUACGUGAGAGUGUCACGGUGGGGGUGUAUCUGGGAGGUCACGAGGACGCUUUGGCCUCGCGGGUGUCCCUACCCCCGAGGCAUUGGGGCCUGAGCUUCGGGAGUCAUUGGUGGACUGUGUUGAUUGCCUCCAUCUGUACCCAGCACGGAGCAUAGGUCUUCCACUAGGCGUGGGGUGGACUCCUUCCGCGUCCUCGGGGGGGGGGGGGGCUGGGCGUAUACAACCUCAGCUCAUUAUUAUGUGACAGUGUCAUGAGAUGAAGUAGGUUCUGGAAGGAUUGAAGGACGAUGCAGAGUCAGUGCAGAGUCGAUGCAGGGUUGAUGCAGAGGCGUUACGGGUAGAACUUCCGAAGAUGUUGGAUGUUCCAGGCGUUCUAGAUGGGAACUCCGUCCUGAGUCUCCAGGCACACGGCGCCAGGCGUGGAGACAUGGGCGACCCUGAAUGGGCCCUCCCACAUGGGCUAGAGCUUAUGCAAUCCCUCCCUAGAUUGUACCCGCCUUAGGACGAGGUCGCCGACCUCAAGGGUCCUGUAGCGGAUGUUGUGGCAGUGACAGCGCCGCAGGUCCUGCUCGUACCUCACGACUCGGAGUGAGGCCCGGCGGCGCGCCUCCUCCACAAGCACAUGAUCCGUCCCCGAGCAGCCUCCUGUCGCUCCUCAUCGAACACCAUGACCCGCGGGGACCGGUGCUUGAUCUCGUGGGGUAGGACCGCCUCCGCUCCUUAGACGAGGAAGAAAGGGGUUUCUCUAGUGGGCUUAGUCGUGGUGGUGCGGAUGUACCACAACACCGACGGAAGCUCCUCGACCCAGCCCCAGCCGCAAGAUUCGAGCUUUUUCCUGAAGUUCCUCACCUUGAGGCCUCGUAGGACCUCUGCAUUGGCGCGCUCUGCCUGGCCAUUGCUCCGCGGGUGGGCCACCGAUGCGUAGCAUAUAUGCAUUCCUAGGUUAGCACAGUAAAUCUUGAAGAGUUGACUGGUGAACUGCAAACCGUUGUCAAUGAUGAUGCGGUUGGGGACGCCGAAGCGGCUCACGAGGCCCUUGAUAAAUUUGACGGCCGACCUGGCGGGGAUGGUGCGCACGGUCUCCACCUCGAUCCACUUGGUGAAUUUGUCGAUGGUGACGUAGACGUAGUGGAAGCCGCCCGCUUCCCGCGAGAAGGGCCCCAGUAUAUCCAGUCCCCAGACCGCGAAGCCCCAGGAGAGCGGAAUGGUCUGGAGGCCCUGCGCGGGCUGGUGAAUGUGCUUGGCGUGGAACUGGCAGGCCUUGCAAGAUCGAACCAGCUCGGUGCCGUCGUCCAACGCUAUAGGCCAGUAGAAACCCGCGAGCGUGCAGGAAGAGGAGUGAUGCCCGCAGUCCCCUCCGUGGAUGUCGGCCAAUAGUUUGCGCCCUUGCUCCUUGGAAAUGCAUCGCAGCGCGAUGUCAUUCGGGCACCUACGGUACAGGGCGUCGUCCCGUAUGUAGAAGGUUGAGGCGUGUCGUGCUACGCGCUCCGCAUCUUCCUCCUUCUCCGGUAAUGUGCCAUGGAGCAGGUACGCCCCAAGUUUCUGCAUCCAAUCAUCGGCCUGAACCUCCAAGUCGAGGAGCAACCGAGCCCCCAAGGCCUGGCCGCAAUCCGGAGCCCCCGAAGGCUGUGCUGGGGGGAGCUCCUCUCCGUGUGGCGCCGUGUCCUCAGGUGACGGCGUCGCGGAAAGCUUGAAGAGUCGCUCCUCGAAGACGCCUGGCUCUUGAGCCUCGUGACGCGAAGCUCUUUUGGCGAUGUCGUCCGCCUCCUUGUUUUCGCCACGUGGGAUGUGUUGAAGCUCCAGGCCCUGAAAACGUUUCUCAAUCUUACGUAACUCUUGUAGAUAUGCCUCCAUGUGCCCGUCCUUGGGCGUGUACUCUUUGUUGGAGAAGUUGACGAGAAGAUAGGAGUCGCCCAUCACGGUGAGGCGCCGGACCCCCAAGGCCGCCACUGCCUUGAGGCCGGCAAUGAGGCCCUCGUACUCCGCUAUGUUGUUGGAGACCUUCUCCCCAAGCUGGAAGAAGAGCUGUACGGUGUAGUGGACCUUGUCUCCCCUCGGGGAAGUGAGCAGGACACUAGCCCCUGCUCCUCUUUGCGUGAAGGCUCCGUUGAAGUGAAUGGUCCAUCCCUCGGGUGCCUCCACACCGGGGGCAAGGGAUUGGCUCCCUUCUAGCCCCCAGUCCGGUGCAUCCGUUCAAUCCACCACGAAGUCAUCCAGGGUCGCUCCCUUGAUGACCCUGGUCAUGCUGAAUUCGAUGUUGAAGGCCUGAAGCUCGAUGUUCCAUUCGGUGACCCUUCCCGCCGCAUUUGGGUUGUGCAGGAUCUUCUCUAAGGGGUAGGCGGAGACGACCUUGAUCGGGUGUCCCUGAAAGUAAUGACGCAGCUUGCACGAGGCAACGAGGAGCGCUUGAAGGAGUUUCUACUGCAUGGGGUAGUGCAAGCGCGCGUCCCGCAGUACCGUGCUGACGAAGUACAAUGGGUGCUCAACGAGGGUGCGCCCGCCCGUGGCUUCAUGCUCGUCGGCGGAUUCAGGCGGCUGGGGUGUCUCGUCGUCUGGAGGGAGGACUGGGGCCUCGGGAGGGCUAGGCAUCGCAGGACGCGAUCCUGCAAUCUGGGCCUAAGGUCCCUUUUCCCGCGGGGGAGUUGGAGCUCGUGAGUCAUGCGAGCCCCCACACUCUGCGGGUGGGGGCCCGCAGCCCCCCCCGAAGUUACGCCCUUGCUGGUUUGCUCCUCCCUUACUACCACCAAUGCGGCGCUGGCGGAGUGGGGGGUGGCAGCAAGGUAUAGAAGCAGGGACUCCCGAGGGCGAGGUGCUACCAUGAUCGAUGGGGUGGUGAGGUAUUGCUUGAGUUCAUCGAAGGCGGCGUCGGCCUCCGGGGUCCACUCGAAGGCCCCCUUUCUUUUCAUGAUCUUGAAGAAAGGCAGGGCUCGCACCGAGCUUGGAGAUGAAACGCCCCAAGGAGGCAACACACCCCGCCAACUUCUGCAUCUCCUUGAGCGUUGUGGGUGCGCUCAUCUUGUUUAUGGCAUUGACCUUUACUGGGUUUGCCUCGAUCCCAAGGUGUGACACGAGAAAAUCGAGCAGCUUGCCCGAUGGGACCCCGAAGAUGCACUUCUCGGGGUUGAGCUUUAGGUUCACCUCUCAAAGGCUGGCGAAGGUCUCCUCCAGGUCCUCCACCAGGGUUUUUGCAUGUCUUGACAUGACCAUAAUGUCGUCGACGUAAGCCUCUGCGUUCCUCCUGAGUUGCGGUCCCAGGGCGAUAUGCAUCAGUCGCUGGAAGGUUGCCCCGACAUUCCGCAGCCCGAAAGGCAUGCACUCGUAGCAGUAUACCCCACACAGAGAGAGGAAGGUUGUCUUCUCGACGUCCUCCACCGCCAUCUUAAUCUCGUGGUAGCCCGAGAAUGCAUCCAGGAAGCAAAGGAGUUUGCACUCCGUGGAGGAGUCCACGAUCUGGUCGAUGCGUGGUAGCAAGAACAGGUCCUGAGGUCAAGCCUUGUUGAGGUUUGUGAAGUCGACGUACAUGCACUCCUUCCCGCACUUCUUCUGGACAACCACAGGGUUGGCCACCCAUUCUGGGUAGCGCACCUCCCGAAUGACCCCUGCCUCCUGUAGUUUGCGCACCUCCUGAGCGAUGAACGCCUGCUUUUCCGGGGCUUGCCUCCUUGCCUUCUGCUUCACUGGGCGUGCGUUCGGGCACACCAUGAGGUGGUGCUCAAUGACGUCCGUCGGGACCCCCCCAGGUCGGAGGUGCUCCAGGCGAACGCGUCGUUGUUCGCCAUGAGGAAACCCACCAAUGUCGCCUCUUGGUCUUGAGGAAGGUUUGCGCCGAUGGUGAAGGUGGGAGCCGAGCUUCCUUCAUUCACCGGAACUUGCUUCGUCUUUGCCCGGUCCUGGGAGAACAACUGCUUCUUCUUCACGGGCGCGAUGUCGUGGGCGUCACCUGGGUCCUCCGCGGCGUGUGCCUCGCCCCCGAGGUUGGUACGCGCCACGUCCACGGCCUUGUGGCAAAGCUCGAGCACCCGUGAGGCGUCCUUGACGUCCCCCACGAUGGUGAGCAUGCCCCCGCUCCCAGGCAUCUUGACGAUGUUGUACCGUGGGUGCGUUGCCGCCAUGAACUGCGCGAGGGCAGGGUAGCCGAGUAUUGCGUUCUAUGGAAGGUGGAUGUGGGAAACGUCGGAGUCGAUCUGCUCGGUUCGGAAGUUGGAGCGGGUGCCGAAGGUGAUGGGGAGGGAAAUUCGUCCCAUAGGGGCGACAGAUCCUGCCACCACCUUGGAGACGGGCUUUGAGGGCGCAAGCCGCUCCCGGGCAACCGCAGCUCGUCAAAGGCCUCCACUGAGAUGACGUUGAGGCCCGCGCUGCCGUUGAUGAGGGUCUUGGAAAUGGCCAUGCCGGAUAUGGUCGACAAUGCACAACAUGGGAAGUGUACGAGCGGCCGUCGCGGAGUUGGGGUGAUCAUAGGGAACGAAGGUGAUGUUGACCUCCGGCCAUAUGCGGUGUUCUGCGUCCUUGGGCCUUGGAUGAGCCCCCCCCCCCCGGCGCGUUGAUGGGAACGCUUGAUGUGACGACCGGAAGAUGGCGCCUGUGAUUCGCCGAGGAUGCAGGCGACAACGGGGGCGGCCCUGCUCGUCCGGGCACUGCCCACCGCGAGGACCAGCGACUGACGGUGGUCGCGCUUUCCAUGGAGUUGUCGAGUCGAGAUCUGGGUCUUGUUGUUGGUGUGGAGGCUCCGACGCGCACCCCCUACCUGGCGCGCCAAAUGUCAGAUUUCGGGCUCCGCAAAACCCUACAGAUUUUUAACCAGGGGUACGCACGGAGACCACUGGGUAGCUUCGGUUCACCCGACUCACUACUCGACGGACAAGGCAAAGAACUCACGUGAUGGUGAGGAAGACACAAGACACUACAAUUUACUCAUGUUUGGGCCACUGGGAAGCGUAAUACCCUACUCCUUCUUUGGUGGAUUGCCUCUUGUGGAGGUUGGCGGAUGAACUAGUACAAUGCUCGUAAGCCUCCCAAGGCUGGGUGGUUAUGUGUGAGGCACGUGGAUGAGUCGAUGGAUUGGAUCCCCCUUCUAUGGAGCAACCUAUCCACUAUAUAUAGUGGCGGCCCGGGUCCUCUUCCCUUACCACUUCGGCGGGAAGGGAUCCCACAAUGGCCAAUUUUAACGCGGGACAAUGGAACAUGGUUCCCUGCCCCAAAGGUGGUCUUUGCCUGCUAAAGUGGCUGACGGCCCAGCAGGGACAGGCCCAGGGGUGACGUCUGUCCUGCCGGCGGGCGGCGAUGUCCUUGUUGCAGCAGAGUGGAAAACUUUGAGAGAUGCCUUAGGAACCCACGUACGUCCUUCCCUCCUUUGCACGAAAGGGGAAACUGCACCGUCCUGUAAUCUGCUGCUUGCCUAUCCCUUCUCCGCGUCAUCCUUGACUCCUGAGGCUGGGCCUUGCCUCGGUGUCGUGGCUUUGUCACGGCAGAUGUCCUCAUGAAAGGACUUAAAGAUGGAGCCAUCGGACCUUGGUGGCGACUCGAAGGGGCUGAGCGAAAGCGAGACUCAGAUUUACCCAGGUUCGGCCCCUCGUGAGGAGGUAAAAUCCUACGUCCUGCUUUGUGUGGAUUAAUGGUGGUUUUGAUUACAAGGAGGGCGUAACUCGCCUGACGUAGCUCUUGAAUCUCUCUAACUCGCCUGACCUUUCCCCGGGACUCGCCUUUAUAUACAGGUCGAGGCCCUAGGUUUUACAAAGUCCUGCCAUGCUACUGUUUGUGGCUUUCCUUAUCUCUAAGUCGCCGUGUCCUCCACGAUCAGGAGCUCUCUUGGUAAUCCAUCAUCCGCAUGACCUCUUGAACCGCCAUCCAGCUUUUGGGCCACGGGACAUGCAUUCAAUGGUAAGUCGCCCCUUUGAUGACCCUGCCCACUAAGGGCGGGUUAUCCGUAGGUAAUAUCCCCAACACUUGGUAUCUCCGCCGCUCCGGAGGGGCCCCGAGGAGGCCCCCUGCGGGUCUUUAAGAUUCUCCUCCACGCGAGGCUUGGACCCUCACGGGGAUCUUGCUUUGAGGGGCGUCGCGCCUGUUGGUUUUGGUCGAUGAAGUAGGCCAGCACCCCCCCCCCCCCCGCAGGCAGGCAGGUCUGGUACCCCCAUUCCCAGAACGCCGACAUAGGGCACCACAUAAUUCCAUUGAGAUGACACCGUAUGAACUAUGGUUUGGAGAAACCUAAGAUGUCGUUUCUUAAAAGUUUGGGGCUGCGAUGCUUAUGUGAAAAAGUUUCAUCCUGAUAAGCUCGAACCCAAAGCGGUUAAAUGCAUCUUCAUAGGAUACCUAAAACAGUUGGGAAUACCUCCUAUCUCAUAUCCAAAAGCAAAGUGUUUGUUUCCAGAAAAGGGUCCUUUCUCGAGAAAAGGUUUCUCUCAAAAUAAUUGAGUGGGAGGAUGGUGGAAACUUGAUGAGGUUAUUGAACCAUCACUUCAACUAAUGAGUAGCAACGCGUAGGAAAUUGUUCAGGUAGCUCCUACACCAGUUGAAGUGGAAGCUGACGAUGUUGAUCAUAAAGCUUCGGAUCAAGUUACAACCAAACCUCGUAAGUCGACAAGGAUGCGUACUGCUCCAGAGUGGUACAAUAAUCCUGUCUUGGAGGUCAUGUUGCUGGACAAUAAUGAAACUACGAGCUAUGGAGAAGCGAUCGUGGGCCUGGAUUCUGACGAAUGGCGGAAGGCCAUGAAAUCCGAGAUAGGAUCCAUGUAUAAAAACAAAGUGUAUACUUAAGAAGAACUACUUGAUGGCCGUAAGGCUGUUAGGUACAGACGGAUUUUUAAAAGGAAGACGGACGAUGAUGGUAAAUGUCACCAUUAAGAAAGCUCGACUUGUCGCAAAGAUGUUUUCGACAAGUUCAAGGAGUUGACUACGACGAGACUUCCUCACCCAUAGCGAUGCUAAAUUCUAUUGGAAUUAUGUUAGCAAUUGCUGCAUUAUUUAUGAUGAAAUAUUGCACAUAGGAUAUCAAAACAUUGUUUCCUCGACGGUUUCCCUGAGGAAAGGUUGUAUGCGAUACAACCAAAAGGUUUUGUCGAUCAUAAGUAUGCUAAUAAGUAUGCAAGCUUUAGCGAUCCUUCGAUGGACUAGAGCAAGCAUCUCGAAGUUGGAAUAUACGCUUUGAUGAGAUGAUCAAAGUUUUUGGGUCUAUACAAGAUUUAUGAGAAACUUGUAUUUCCAAGAAAGUGAGUGGGAACACUAUAGAAUUUCUGAUGAGAAUAUGUAGUUGACAUAUAAUUGAUCGGAUAUGAUGUAGAAUUUCUGGAAAGCAUAAAGGGUUGUUUGAAAGGAGUUUUUCAAAGGAAAACCUAGAUUAAGCUAUUGAACAUUGAGCAUUAAGAUCUAUAAAGAUAGAUCAAGACGCUAGAUGAAAACUUUCAAUAAAUACAUACCUUGACAAGAUAUUUUUGAAGGAGUUCAAAAUGGAUCGGUCAAAGAAGGAGUUCAUGGCUGUGCUGUAAGGUGUGAAUUUGAGUAAGACUCAAAUCUCGACCACAACAGAAGAAAGAGAAAGGACUAAGGUCGUCACCUAUGCUUUAGUCGUAGGCUCUAUAGUAUGACAUGAUGUGUACCGCACCUAUUGUGUGCCUUGCCAUGAGUCCGCCAAGGGGUACAAAGAGUAAUCCAGGAACGAAUCACUAAACAACGGUCAAAGUUAUCCUUAGUAACUAGUGGACUAAGGAAUUUUUCUCGAUUAUGUAGGUGAUAAAAGAGUUCGUCGUAAAGGGUUACGUUGAUGCAAGCUUUGACACUAAUCUGGAUGACUCUGAGUAGUAAACCGGAUUCGUAUAGUGGAGCAGCCAGUUGGAAUUGUUCCAAGUGGAGCGUAGUAGCAAAAUCUACUGUAUGACAUAGAGAUUUGUAAAGUACAUAUGGAUCUAAAUGUUUCAGAUACGUUGACUAAAACACUCUCUCACAAGCAUGGUAUGAUUAAACCCCAUAACUGUAUGGGUGUUAGAUUCAUUACAAUCACAAAGUGAUGUGAACUAGAUUAUUGACUCUAGUGCAAGUGGGAGACUGUUGGAAAUAUGCCCUAGAGGCAAUAAUAAAUUGGUUAUCAUUAUAUUUCCUUGUUCAUGUUAAUCGUUUAUUAUCCAUGUUAGAAUUGUAUUGAUUGAAAAUUCAAAUACAUGCGUGGAUACAUAGACAACACACUGUCCCUAGUGAGCCUCUGGAGGAUUAGCUCGUUGAUCAAAGAUGGUCAAGGUUACCUGGCCAUAAACAUGAGAUGUCGUUUGAUAACAGGAUCACAUCCUUAGGAGAAUGAUGUGAGGGACAAGACCCAAACUAUGAACGUAGCAUGUGAUCGUGUUAGUUUAUUGCUACUGUUUUCUGCAUGUCAAGUAUUUGUUUCUAUGACCAUGAUAUCAUGAAACUACCAGGAACUGGAGGAAUACCUUGUGUGUAUCAAACGUCGCAACGUAACUCGGUGACUAUAAAGGUGCUCUAUAGGUAUCUCCGAGGGUGUGUGUUGGGUUGGCGUGAAUCAACACUAGGAUUUGUCACUCCGUGUAACGGAGAGGUAUCUCGGGGCCCACUCGGUAAUACAACAGCACAACAAGCUUGCAAGCAAUGUAACUAAGGAUUUAGUCAUGUGAUCUUGUAUUGCGGAACGAGUAAAUAGACUUGCCGGUAACGAGAUUGCGCUAGGUAUGGAGAUACCGACGAUUGAAUCUCGGGCAAGUAACAUAACGAUAGACAAAGGGAAUUGUAUACGGGAUUGAUUGAAGCCUUGACAUCAUCGUUCGACCGAUAAAUAUAUUUUUAGAAUAUGUAGGAGCCAAUAUGGACAACCAGGUCCCGCUAUUGGUUAUUAUCCAGAGAGUGUCUCGGUCAUGUCUGCAUAGUUCUCGAGCCUGCACGGCUGCACACUUAACGUUCAGUGACGAUUUGGUAUUAGUGAGUUAUGUGUGAUGGUAACCGAAUAUUGUUCGGAGUCCCAGAUGAGAUCAUGUAGAUCAUGAGGAGCUUUGGAAUGGUCCGGAGGUAAAGAUUUAUACAUGGGAAGUCAUAUUUUGGCUACCGCAAAAGUUUCGGGUUUUUCCGGUAUUGUACCUGGAAGCUUCUAGAAGGUUCCAGAAACUUCUAGAGGAAUUCGGAAGUCCACCAAGGGUUCUACCACGUAUCAAGGGUUUGCAUGGGCUAAUGAGAGACAUCCUGGCCUUAUUGGGCCAAGCGCACAAGUCCCUCAAGGCCCAUGCAGUUGGGAAAGCUCGAAAUUCCACCUUUGUAUGGAAGGGAAGGAGGGGGACUAGGAUUCCAUCUCCUCCACCCUUGGCUGCACCCUAGGGCUUGGAGGGGCUGUUCCCCAUGCCCCUCCACCUAUAUAUAGAGGGGAGGGGGUGCCCCAAGAGGACACACAAAGCCCUUGGCACCCCUCUCUCUUCCCAGAUCAUUUUCUCCUUCGUUCGCAGUUUCGGUAGCGCUAGGCGUAGCCCUGUCGGGAUAGCUCCACCACCGCCGCCACCAUGCUAUCGUGUCGCCUGAGAAGUCAUAAACCUCUCCGUCAUCUCGUGCUGGAUCAAGGAGGCGAAGAACGUCAUCUAGCUGUACGUGUGCUGAACGUGGAGGUGUCGUCCGUUCGACACUAGAUCAGAAUGGAUCGUGAUGGGAUCACGGGACGAGUUGCGAUUUGGAUCGCGAAGACGUUCGACUACAUCAACAGCGUUAUAUAUGCUUCCGCUUAGCGAUCCACAUGGGUAUGUGGAUCCAAUCUCUCCUCUCGUAGAUGCUCAUCACCAUGGAUAGAUCUUUUGUGUGCAUAGAAUUUUUUUUGUUUCCCAUGCAAUGUUACCCAACAUUUUUUACUUAGGUGAAAGCAGGUUCACAGCUGAGCCCCCAUGCAUGGAGAUCAUCCUCACUCGGGUCAUGUUUUACGUUAGGUGAAAUCAGGUUCGUUGGUGAGGAUUCUCACCCACCGGGUGUGUGUUUCACCGGAGUGAGAGGUCUGACAAUGUUUGAAGAAAGAAAGUACUUUUAUUCCUCAAACCAUUCGAAUUCAUUACAAGAAUUAAAAGAUAUGUUCUAUGUAUAGAACUUGCGGAGUAGGUCCGCCUUCGAGGUUGUGGGGUCCUCGGCUCCAUUCUGGAAGUUGUACAAUCAAUAAGCUCUAUUGUGCAAGACUUUGGAGAUAGUGUAGGGCCCUUGCCAAGGAGGUCCCAGCUUGUGGGGUUUUUGUUGGUCCAGUCGGAGGACCAAGUCGCCCUCGUGUAAAGCUCGCCCUCUGUCUUUCUUGUCAUGGUAGCGCCUUGGAUCUUACUGAUAAAGUAUAGAACGAAUGAGGGAUAGCUCUCUCUCUCUUUUUCCAAGAGAUCCAGUCUCUUCUGACGUGCCACCUCAGCUUCAGCUUCAUUGUAUUGCUCCACUCAGGGGGAGUUGUGACGUAAGUCAGUCGGUAGGACUGCUUCAGACCCAUACACCAUGAAAAAAGGGGUACGCCAGGUGGAACAAUUUAGAGUCAUUCGCAUGCCCCACUGGACAGAUGGCAACUGUUCCACCCAUGCUCCUGCAGUGUACUUGAGAUCCCUCAUCAAUUGGGGCUUCAAGCCUUGUAAUAUCAUACCAUUCGCCUGCUCUGUUUGACCAUUCAACUACGGGUGAGCCAUGGAGGUGCAAUUAACCCAAGUGCCUUGGGAGUAGUAGAACUUGCGAAAUUGAUCUGAGUCGAAAUUGGACCCAUUGUUGGUGAUGAUAUCAUGUGGAACUCCGAAUCUCAAGAUAAUUUGCCGAAUGAAGAUGCUGGCGGUUGAUGAGUCUAGGCUUUUGAUGGGCUUCUCUUCAACCCACUUGGUGAACUUGUCUACUGCUAGUAGCAGGUAAAUAAAUCCGUUUGACCCAGUUCACAGAGGGCCGACUAUGUCGAGGCCCUAUGCGGCGAAUGGCCAGGUGAGUGGAAAUGUCUUCAAUAUGGAUGCGGUUUUGUGUGACUAAUUCUUAUAGAAUUGGCAUCCAACACACAGAUCAACCAGGACUCUUGCUGCCUCAUUGGUUCAUGGCCAAUAAAAACCCGCACGGAAUUCCUUGGACACUAGUGUCCGAGAGAACGAAUGAUGGCCGCAGGUUCGCACGUGAAUCUCGUGCAAGAUCCGCAGUCCUUCCUCUGGGGAGAUACAUUUCUGAUUGACUCUUGUGGCACUUUUCUUGUAUAGUUGAUCCCCCAAAACAUCAAAAUCUUUAGACCGUCGGACGAUUCGGUGGGCUUCCUCUUUGUCCUUUGGGAGUUCUUCCCAGAGCAAGUAAGCCACAUAAGACUGAGUCCACUCGGGAGUGAUGACCAAAAUCUCAUGGAUUAGGUCCAUCAUAGCCGGGACAUCGAUUUUAGUCAGAUUUGUAGGACUGACUGCCUGUGGGGACUCCUUGUGAAAGGAUCCUCUUGGACUGAGGGAGUGUGCAAAUCUUCAAGGAACACGCCCUUUGGGAUGACACGCUGAGUGGAACCAAUCUUGGCCAAGUCGUUAGCUGUGUGAUACUUGGCCCGGGGCACGUAGUGCAACUCCAACCCUUCAAAAUUCAUUUCGAGCUUCCUGACUGCAUUGCAAUAACCGAUCAUGGAAGGUAUCCGAAUGUCCCAUCCCUUCAUCACCAGAUUAACGACGAUGUCUGAGUCACCGUAAAACUUCAAACACCGGAUACCGAGUGAGAUGGCCAUACGUAGCCCAUACAGGAGGGUUUCGUACUCGGCCUAGUCGUUAGAUGAGUCAAAGUGGAUCUCGAGCACGUAGAUCAGUUGGUAUCCCCGGGGGGAAACGAGAACAACUCCAGCUCCCAAGCCAUGCAGCAUUUUGGACCCGUCAGAAAACAUAGUCCAAUGCUCAGGGACACUCGGGGUGGCUGCUCUUGCUCUAUCCAUUCGACCACGAAGUCCACCGGGGCCUGAGACUUGAUGGCUUUUUUGGCUUCAAACUUGAUCUCCAACGGUAGGAGUUCAAUCGCCCAUUUGGCCACGCAACCAGUGGCGUCUCUGUUAUGUAGGAUUUUCAACAGAGGGGCAUCGCUGAUAACUGUGCUCGAUUGAUCUUGGAAGUAAUGAACCACCUUCUUCCUCGUCACAUAGAUACCAUAGACCAGCUUCUCGUACUGCGGGUACCUUUGCUUGAAGGGUGUCAAAACUUGUGAGAUGUAGUAGAUGGGCCUCUGUACCUUGAAGGCUUUGCCUGCUUCCUCUCCCUCCACGGUGAGAACGCUCCUAACCGCUUGGCUAGUGGCUGCGAUAUAAAGGAGCAAAGGCUCCCCGGCUGCCCAGAGCAGCUAACACCGGCUGGGUGGAAAUUAAAACCUUAAGUUGGUCGAUUGUGAUUUACACUUCGUUGGUCCACUCGAACCUGUCAGAUUUCUUCAUCAGUCGGUAAAGAGGCAGUGCCUUUUCACCGAGUCUUGAGAUGAAAUGACUCAAGGCCGCAAGGAAACCUGUAAGCCUUUGCACAUAAUGGAUGCUCUUUGUACGUAUCACUUGAACUAUGGCACCAAUCUUUCUGGGGUUAGCAUGAUGCCUUGUUAAGAAACAAGGAAACUGAGUAAAUUGCCAGCUGGCACGCCGAAUGUGCACUUGGCUGGGUUGAGUUUGUUCCCAUAGUGCCAUAGGUUCGCGAAGGUCUUGGCGAGGUCAGUCAGGAGGUCGGAACCUUUCCUAGACUUGACCACUAUGUCAUCCAUGUAAGCCUCCAUGUUCCCACUGAUCUGCUCAUGCAAGCACUUCUAGAUCAUAUGCUGGAAAGUGGCCCCCGCAUUUUUGAGACCGAAUGGCAUAGUGAUGUAGCAGAAACACCUGAAUGGGGUGAUGAAGGUCGUUUUUAUUUCAUAAGUCCCAUACAUUCGGAUCUGGUGGUACCCGGAGUACGCAUCCAGGAAUGAUAGGCGUUCACAUCCGACAGGAGAGUCUACAAUAUNNNNNNNNNNNNNNNNNNNNNNNNNNNNNNNNNNNNNNNNNNNNNNNNNNNNNNNNNNNNNNNNNNNNNNNNNNNNNNNNNNNNNNNNNNNNNNNNNNNNGCAUGCAAGCUUUAUGAUUUUUACUUGCUUGCCUCUGGUUACCAGUGUUUUCUUCUUCCAGUCAACCUGGUCAAUCAACCAUAGAGUUAUGGCUCUUGGGAGACGGCAAUUUAGCAUACUAAAAAUGAGCAAACCGAGCUCAUCCACCCAUACUCUCUAUGUUUCAUUUACCGGUGGGACAAUUUCAUGAAUUUUAUGAGGCACAUACUUCAACCCGACGACCUGAAUUUAUCUAACAAGUGUUAAUUGCUAUCAACAAAACAUGUGUAAUGAAUGUGUAUAUAGAUUAUGUUGGUGUAGGCUAUACAUACCGGUCUAGGCUCAGUGUUGGGUUGUGUGCUCUGCUUCUUGUCCCUUCGAGGCAAUGAUUUCCUCAUGUUCCUAUUUGAUGCAUCUACUUCCUCCUCCAUGCUAUAAUCCGAUUCUUUCGUCUCGGAACUUGACUCCACAAUCUUGACAAGUUUCUUCUUUUGUGGCUUCUUCAUCUCCUUUGUAGGCUCACUGUCGGAGCUCAAGUCGUCUCUUUUGUCCUUCGACUUCCUCUUUCUUUAAGACUGCUCGAUUUGUGACAUAUAGUCUUUUCUUCCUUUAGCAUUCCUAUCCCCAGCAAACCUUUCACCCCUCAUAGUUGAAGCACAUUUACUUGAUUUCAUCUUCCUCUUUCUGUCAAUAUCAUCGCUCUCCAAACUCAAUUCAGAUUCACUGCUUCUUGGGUCCUCCCUUGACUUCAUAUUUGCUUUAGUUUUCCUCCUGCCUUUGUCUUCUCCACUUCCCGACAUGUUCUAUGAUGACUCUUUCUUGUUUUAUCAGGCUUGUAAUGAGCUUCGUCACUUUCGUAAAAGUCCUCAUCGUAUUCACGGUGUUUCCUUCUUAUUUUCAGGGCUUCCUUUCUACCAUCACCCUUGCACUGCUUCCUCUUAUCAUACAUUGGUUCUUCAGACUCUGUUUUUUCGGAUUCACUAUUAGCAUGCUCCAUCUUGCGUAUUUUUCUCAAUCUUGGAGAUAUCCGCGUGCAGAGCUCAUUUCCAGACAAUUUUUCUUCCAUUUUAUCACUGAAAACACACAAAAAACCAUCCAAUUCAUGGCAUUUGUGCACAGAGUGAAUGGUAAAAUGCCCUCCAUGACAGGCUGAAAUAACACUAAUUAGAAAUAUGACAUGUAACCAACAACUUCAUACUCACGAAUCAAAAAUCUGUUAUAUGCGCAUGAUACUAUGGGGUGGGGUUCUUAUAUAUCGAUAACGGGGAACUUAAAGUUGCCGCACCCCGUAAGAAAUGAUGUGAUUGAAGCGCAAAAUAGAGUAUUUGUGAUUCGACUCUGUUAUCUAACAAAUCAAUGGCGGUCAAAAAUACUAAAAUGAAUCCAAAGUAAACUAUGUCAACAUUGCAUGCACAUUCCACCGCUCAGCAUAGCUAGCUAGCCUCCCCACCCACCGUGACGCGGGUCGCCCCGGCCGCGGCGGCCACCUCCUCGGCAUUAAUGGCCCGAAGGUCUCCCUCUGGAUCCAGCAGUUCCUCGCGCGCCAGCCCCGCGCGCUCCCCUCGGGCCGUCGGUCCAUCCCCAGCGUUGCCGUCGUAGUCGUCGGCAGAUCCUGAUCCCGUCCCCUCGCCGCGGAUCCGGCUGCGGGAGGGGGGCUCCGGCCAUGGGGCCACGGGCUGCAGGCCGCAGUCCGCCGGUCCGUCUGCAGCCGCGGGGAGGGGGGGGGGCUUCGGACUGCCUGGAGGGCCGGUCGGCUCCCUCGCUGUCACCACGCGCGACGAGACGGCCGUCUACCUCGCCAUCCCCAUCGGUCGUCGCGUCGAAUGGACAGCCGGAUCCUCCGGCGCGUCAGGCAAAAAGGCUCUGCUCCAUCAUAGUCGCACCGCCCCGUUCCCCGGAGCCUUCAUGGAUAGAGGUAAGUCACCGCAGGCCGCGCGGCACUCCCGCAGGACCGCCGGUCGAUGCGAGGAAUCGAGGAGCACAGCGCUCGGACCGCGACGGCGUAGUAAAGGCUCUGAGGCAACGUGAGCUCUUUUUAUCUCAGUUCCGCGGUCGCUGCUUCCGUUGCCUGAGCAAACGCCACCGCUUAGCACAGUGUAGGGAUCCCAUACACUGCAUCAUCUGCCGUCGAGCCGGGCACGUCGGCCGGCUCUGCCCCAAGAAAUCCGGCGCGGCACCAGCAGCCGCAACAGUUAGGUCCAGGUUGGGGCCUCCUCCUUCGGGGCAACCCCUGCAAGCCCGCGUUAGGUUCCCCCCUCCACCCUCCACUCUCACCGCGGGUCCGAUGGCCCAAGCCAUGCUGCUCCACGUCGAUCCCGCGCGCCGGCCUAGGAUCAGCCGCUCCGUGGCCAUCCCAUCCCCGGAGGUGGACCAAGCGGUCUUCUUCCUGCGGAACCACGCCGUCACGCUAUCGGCCGCAGACGGGGUUAACGCCUCGUCCCCCAUGGCGGUUGGAAGAGCACUGGAGGCCCAGCUCGCGGUCCCGGCGCACUCUCUCCGGGUGACGGCGCACCAUCCAGAGCACUUCUUCGUCAUCUUCACGCAGCCGGCGCACCAGGUCAAUGCCGUGCGCCGUGGUUCUAUCAGGGUAGACGGCGCCUCCUUCUCCAUCGCCUCCUGGCACGAGCACGACCACGCGUCGUUCGACGCCCUACAGCUGCACGUCCGGGUCGUCAUAGAGGGGGUGCCGAUGCAGUUCUGGUCCGUCGACGGGGCGGAGGAGAUCCUCGGGAGAAGGGUCAGGGUGGACCGCCUCGACAGUAGGACGCUAGAGCGCGGCCACACCAAGACCUUCGCCUGCUGGGUUUGGACCAACAACGUUGAAAACAUCCCCACCAGGCACACGCUCGGGGUACUACCGAGGGGGGCAGGCCGUGUCGAGGAGAUGGAGGGCUUCUCUCCGCCCGACAUGAGGGUAGCUCCACCACCGGCCACAGCAGAAUACGAGAUGCUAAUCCACGUAGACAGAGUCGAGGACUAGACGCCUCCCUCUCCCCGCUCUUCCCACUCCGGCUAGAGUGGGAUCCCGUCCUCAGGAUCGGAUGAAGACUCCCCGGCUUUCCCGGCAGUAUCAUCUGCUCCCUGGACGAUGGGGGUGGAGGACGGCCAGAGGCCCGACAGACACCCCCGUCUGAAGCGCGCGCCCAUCACCAGCCUGGGCUGCCGCGGCCUGCCGCGGGGUGGCCAGGGGAGAGACCAAGACGAUGAGGACAACGGUGGCAACGGGGCCGACGGCCACCGUUCAUGGAAGGAUGUGCUGCUUCGCCGCGGUCGCACCGUGGCUCAGCCUGUGCCUGCAGCGAACUCGCGCCAGCGCAGCAGGUCCCCCCCGAAGCGCCGUCGACAAAGGGACACCUCGGGCCGCCGUCGCGGUGACACGAGGAGCUCGGGGCAGUCGCGCCAGCCAACGCACAGGGGCCGCUCCAGGCCUCCCCCGCCACCCCCAGCCAGGGAGGCCCCUGCGGCCGUAGGGCACUCGGCUGCCGAUAGCGGCAGUAGAGGAAAGGAUCCAGUAGAUGACUUCUUCAGAUCAGCAAAGAAGUCACUGCUGGCCCCCGCUGCCGUGGAUGGUCUAGCAGCGGACGUGCACGCGGCGGCAGAGGCCGUGCUUGCGGAACCGCUGGCGUUCGACAAGGAGGCGCUGGACAGGACGCCGGGAGAGGCCCUGCAGCUAGAUGCCUUCAGCCCCACGCUCUCGGCCUCGGCGUCGGACUUCGGCCAGUUCAGCAGGGCUACCCCCUCGGCGGCUAGGACACUCGAGGUUCAGUUAGGGGCAGUGACCAGCAGGGUCUGCCAACUGGAGAUAGCCGCUCCAAGCAGCGCGGCCUCGGCGGCCUCCCUCUUCCGCGCUCCCGAGCCGCCGCCGCUCGACCGCCCCACCUCGGCCCCGCGGCGCUCAGCAGCGCCCCCGAAGAGCAGGUCCAUCUUGGCACCUACCCGCCCCAGCGCCAGGCAAGCGGCGGCUGGCUCGACAGUCCCGGUGGCAAAGAGAGCCUCCCUCCGCAUCGUAAAAGAGCUGGGGCUUUUAGGGCCAAGGGAGAAGAUGACGGCAGAGGUGGCAAAGGCGCUUCUGCAACGGUUCAAGGAACCUCUGACGGACAACGACAUCGCGACCAUAGCCAAGCUCACACGCCUAGACGACGAGGCUCUUAGGGUCAUGGCGCAGAUGGCUGGCUCUGAUGGGAUCGCCGAGGAGGCCAUAGUGUGAUCAUGUUAGUAGUCUACUUUAGCAGCUUGCGGUGGCGGUCGGUCGCUGAUCGGCUGGAGUUAGGUUUCAUUUCUAGUUCCCAGGAUAGAGGUUUAGGUGAUCGUCGUCGCUGGCACGUGUUUGGGCCUAAGGGUGGGUGCCAGCGAUCCCUUGUUAAGUUGGAAGUGUCCUGUUUGGGCCCGAGGCCAAGUAGAAUUUGCCACCGUAGUAUGCCUGGGUUUCCCCAUGAGUGAACCACUUAGCCCGAUCAUGUGUUGGAAUGUCCGCGGCCUAAACAACCCGGCAAAGCGGGCGUCCGUAGCAGAGAUGGCAGCAGCACACCGUGCCGUCAUACUAUGUAUUCAGGAGACAAAGAUUGCGACGUGGUCUCCGGAGCUAGUUCAUGAGUUAGGAGGUCAAACCCUCCCCGGUUGUAUUGCGCUCCCGUCGAUGGGCACUUGCGGGGGAGCCGCCAUACUAUGGAACAAAGACCUAGCUACCGUUACCUCCCACGCCAUAGGAGAGUUCGCCAUCACGGCUAAGGUUUGCCUGCUUGGCCAAAGUGAUAGCUUCUGGUUAUCAACGGUCUACGGGCCGGCGGAUGAAGCGAGAAAAGAUAGAUUUCUCUCGGAGAUAUCUCGAUCUGCUCCGCCUGCAGCAAAGCCAUGGCUUAUCAACGGAGAUUUUAACCUCAUUUACGAGGCUAGGGACAAGAACAAUCUCAAUCUAAAUCGUAGACUCAUGGGCCGAUUCAGAUCAGCCCUAGAUAUGGCAGGAUUGAGAGAGAUUAGAUGUAACAACCGUAGAUACACCUGGACAAACGAGCGUCGUAAUCCCACUCAGAUGAGCAUAGACAAGUUCUUCUGCAACCAAGCAUGGGAAGGGUUGUUUCCAUCGGCUUCUCUCCAUGCGGCAGCCUCGGCCACCUCGGAUCACUGUCCUUUGAUCCUAGCAGAUACCAGCAGCGUACCUAGGGCGGCGAUUUUCAGAUUCGAAAGCUUCUGGCCGGCGUUCCCAAGAUUCCACGACACCGUAGCUAGAGUAUGGAAUCGGCCAGUGCAAGACACCAGCACCUUCCAAAGGCUGAACACUAAGUUGGUACGCACCGCCAGGGACCUAAAAAUCUGGAGCAAAGGCUUCUUCAGUGAUGCCAAGCUCCAGUUCCACAUGGCAACAGAGAUAGUUCUUAGAUUUGAUGUAGCACAGGAAGAACGCAUCCUCACGGACGCUGAGUUCAACCUAAGAAGGCUGCUCAAGCUCCGGUUGCUGGGCCUGGCGGCGCUAGAGCGUGCCCGUCGACGGCAAGCAUCCUGACUCACCUGACUACGUCUAGGUGACGCAGGCACAAAGUUUUUCCACGCCAAAGUAAGAGCAAGAAAUAGAAAAAACUUCAUCCACUGCCUGCAAGUGGGACCAGAGAUAGCUACAACGCACGAGCACAAAGAGAAUGCAAUAUUCCAACACUUCUGCAGUCAUCUUGGGGCCACAGUUGAUCGCCACACGGGCAUAAAUUGGGAUAGGCACGACAUGCCGACAGUACAGGAUAGAGGCCUGGACAACCCCUUCACAGAGGAGGAGGUCUGGGAGGCGAUCAAGGCAUCCCCGUCGGAGAAGGCGCCAGGCCCAGAUGGCUUCACAGGGGCUUUCUUCAAAGCUUGCUGGGGCACCAUCAAGCAGGAUAUCAUGGAAGUUUUUCAUAGCUUCUACCACCUGGCCAGGGGCGACUUUAGCAGCCUGAACACAUCCAUGAUAGUACUCCUUCCAAAAAAAGAAGGCACAAUGAAGGUGCAGGACUUCCGACCGAUCAGCCUAAUUCACUCAGUAGCCAAGCUAAUUGCCAAGGUUCUUGCUAUCAGACUGACGGGGGUGAUCAGCAGCAUCAUCUCCCCGGCGCAAUCUACCUUCCUGAGCUCCAAGUCAACACAAGAUAGUUUCCUGUAUGUUCAAAACGUAGUACGCUCGCCACAUCGUAAGAAGAGGCCCGCGCUGAUGUUCAAGCUAGACAUCGCCAGAGCGUUUGACAACGUCUCCUGGGAGUACCUAUUAGAGCUCCUCCAGCGGCUAGGGUUCCCCCCGUGUUGGCGCGAUUGGAUAUCUUUCCUUCUCAGCUCCGCGACAUCGGCAGUCAAGCUAAACGGCUCCGUCGGCCCAAAGUUCAGGCAUAAAAGAGGGCUAAGGCAGGGGGAUCCUAUAUCGCCCCUACUAUUUAUCAUAGCCAUCGACACACUGCAUAAGCUACUGGAGGCAGCAACGCAGCUCGAGAUCCUAGCGCCGCUGCCAAGGAGAGACAUCACGUUGAGAGUUAGCCUCUAUGCGGACGACGCGGUCAUCUUUGCCAACCCUGUCAAGGGGGAGAUCGACGCCAUGUUACAGCUGCUGCGGGACUUCGGCCAUGCCACGGCCCUGCACGUAAACCCUGCCAAGUCGACAGUAUCCGCCAUCCGUUGCAGUGACAUAAACCUCGGCGACGUCCUUGCAAACUUCGGGGGACAGACAGUAGGCUUCCGGGUACGAUACCUAGGUCUACCGUUGACGAUCGCUAGACUCCGCUUAGUGCACAUCCAAUACAUCCUUGAUAGGAUUAGGGCCAGACUCGCUGGCUGGAAGGGGAAGCUUAUGAGCAUCGCAGGCAGACAGGUCCUAGUCUGCAGCGUCCUCACUGCCCUGCCGACUUUUGCCCUCGCUGUGCUACGAGUACCAAAGAAAAUCCUAGACAACAUAGAUAAGGCGAGGAGGCGCUUCCUUUGGGCUCAAGACGACCCAAUCAUCGGGGGGAAAUGUAAGGUCAACUGGCCUGUGGUUUGCUCGCCAAUCGACUACGGAGGCCUAGGGAUUUUGGAACUAAGUAGAUUCUGCAGAGCUCUCAGGCUGAGAUGGCUUUGGCUGUCAUGGACUAGCCCAGACAGACCAUGGAUUGGUUCACAAUUACCAUGCGAUAACGACGACAGAAACCUUUUCUGUGCCUCUACGGCGGUAUCACUAGGAGACAGGGCAACGGCCUCUUUCUGGCACUGCUCCUGGACAGGAGCGGGAAACCUUAGAUCGGAAUUCCCAACGCUGCACAAACACUCUAGGAAGAAGAACCGUACAGUGAGAGAGGCCCUCCAAAACGACACAUGGAUUAAGGACCUUGCCCACGGCGACAACGCUCACAUUUGGGCAGAGACGCUUAGGCUGCAUAGAUGGUUGCAAACUUCAGGGCCUCACCUCCAGGAAAACUCCAGAGACAUCAUCUCUUGGAUCCACGAGGCGUCAGGGCUAUACUCCGCUAGCUCAGCGUACAAGGCUCAGUUCCAGGGGCACACAAGAUCACCCUUUAGAAAGUUGAUCUGGGCUUCUUGGGCACUUGCUAGACUAAAAAUAUUCUACUGGCUGCUAUUGCGAAACAGGCUGUGGUGCAACGACCGCCUACAGAGGAGGGGAUGGCCAAAUGGGUACUUCUGCCAGCUCUGCCUCCGGAAUCUGGAAACGGCAGAUCACUUGUUCUGGCAAUGUACGAAGGUGUUGGAAGUUUGGACACUGGUGUCGGCCAGACAUGGAUGUGUCUCGCUCAACCCAGCGGUAUGGAAAGACAGGACCACACCACACGAUAUCAUAAUGGACAUGAUAAGCAAAGCCAGGCCCGAGCACAAGAAAGGGAUUAGGACGAUGAUUAUACUUAUCUUAUCAUAAAUCUGGAAGGAGAGGAACGACUGCACAUUCAGACUGAAGACUCCCGCCGUCAGGAACAUGAUUAUUUCCAUACAGGAUGCCUUGGAGCUUUGGAGGCAGGCAGGUGCUGCCUGCCUCGUGCAUCCCUUCGGGGACUCAACGGGAGAAAUCACGUAGUGGGUUUAGCUCCCUACGGGGACGGAUGGGUCUUAUCCUUUUUUGUUUCUUAUGAACUUUUCCUUUGAUCCGUUUUGGGUCGCCACCACCUUGAUGUAUUCCCGCUCUCUACCUGCUUCGUUUAAUAUAUGCCAGCCAGCAGCUGGAUCUUUCAAAAAAAAGAAAUACUAAAAUGCUUCAACUCUGCUACAACUCUCGGGCUGUCAGAUCUAGACUACAAACUUGCUUUGCUGAAGCUUGAAGGUCCACUCCACUUCCUCUUGCCGAAACGGUUGCUGAAGAACGGCGGGGGGGGGGGGGGGNNNNNNNNNNNNNNNNNNNNNNNNNNNNNNNNNNNNNNNNNNNNNNNNNNNNNNNNNNNNNNNNNNNNNNNNNNNNNNNNNNNNNNNNNNNNNNNNNNNNNNNNNNNNNNNNNNNNNNNNNNNNNNNNNNNNNNNNNNNNNNNNNNNNNNNNNNNNNNNNNNNNNNNNNNNNNNNNNNNNNNNNNNNNNNNNNNNNNNNNNNNNNNNNNNNNNNNNNNNNNNNNNNNNNNNNNNNNNNNNNNNNNNNNNNNNNNNNNNNNNNNNNNNNNNNNNNNNNNNNNNNNNNNNNNNNNNNNNNNNNNNNNNNNNNNNNNNNNNNNNNNNNNNNNNNNNNNNNNNNNNGGGGGGGGGGGGGGGGCGUGGUGCGGCACGACGGACCUGUCCAAUCCAGCGGUUACUCAGACAAAUGCCGAGAGGAAAGGGUCCCAAAGAUGGAGGACACAAUGUAUUAAGUGCUGAUGUGGGCUCCACUGUAUCUAUUGUGUGCGAAUACACACAACAAAAAAUCCUUUGGUAACUGUUGUUACGUUGACUACAGUACACGAUUAAUUUGUACGCACGCAUCGCAGAAUACAUCCAAUGCUUGUGCGAUACCCGGUAGAAACCGGUACCGCUAGUUUUUCAUUACGAAGAUCUGCCAUAGUUGUCGUCAAAAAGUGUAGAGAAAUCCAUCAUGUGCAUUCGUGUAUGAGCCAAGUGCACUCAUCUAAGACCGGUCAAAAACUGCUGGCUGGUGAUGUGCUGCUUUGUGCGGCUUCAAACGAUCAUCUGGGGACGGUGUUGCCAAUGUGCUGGUGAAGAACCUUAGCACGCACCUUUGAUGGUGUCCGGAGUGUGUGGAAGCAGGGAGGCAUCCCUGUUAGCGGGAGCCACUGGCCCAUGGGCGGAGCUCGCGGCUCGGAUGCUGGCAGGCUUGUUGUCAUGGCUGCAUGGGUGGUAUGGGGUGGGCCUUCACCGAUCUACGGUGGUGGUGCGGCCGACGUUCUCCUAUCGUGCCAUACCUUAGGUGGAGGCGGAGGGUGGUGGCUGAGGUGAAAACCUCGUAUGGUUUGGACCAAACCAAUGGUGCGACGUCCAUGCGGCGUUCCCUUCCUGAAGGCUCCAUCGCGGCAGCCCUGCGUCCUUCGAGGCACUUCAUGUGAAAACCUCGAUUCAGUGGAUCGGGCGGUUGCGGCUCUUUGGUGUCGUUUCUUUUUUGGAAGCACCGCUUUGGAGUUCCUGGGUCAUCGAGUUUCGGCGUCGUCUCCUCGCGGCGACUCAUUCUCAGUGGAGCGCUCCAUAGUUCCUUAGAUGCUCUUAUGUCUGUUAGUUGUUUUCUUUGGUGUUUUGGAGUAUUGUUGUUGAUCGUCGGCCCCUUGUACCAGCCUUGGGUGUGUGUGGUGUGCGGUUGUUUGAAUUUUGUAUGUUGAUCGUUGCUUUAUAUAUAAAGCGGGGCGAAAGCCUUUUUCGGUAAGACCUCAGGCCAACUCCAACGUGCGACCUCAAAUGGUUCGACCGCGUCCGUUUGAAAGAAAACAGACAUAAAUUGUGGUCCAACACACAGAAGCAAAAUAGACAAAUGUCUGUUUUUGUUUGAUUUCGACUUAUUUGCGUUGAGACACACAACGCACGGACGGGCGGGGCGUGUGCCCUUGUCCUCCCCUGACCCGCCCAUAGAUGGCUCAGACGCCCUUUUCUCUUCCACUACCCUCCCUCUGUCCUCCUCCAUCGUUGCUACCCGUUGGUACACAUUUUUGACGUCCCUCUUCCUUGCUUUCUUGAUAGGCCACCCAAACCACGACCGCGACUUGUCAUAGCCGGCUCACGCAAGUGUUUCAGAUGAGUUUUUGCCAAUGUUCAUGGCUCUUCCGGUGCAGAGAGAAGCUAACCCCAACACCUUCCGGUAGGCGCUGCAUAGCCGCAUGGCGUCGCCCGCCAACACCAACCUUGCCUGCUGUCUAGUUCCCCUUCGUGUGUCCAACACUACUAUAAGGUGUUCAACACUUUGCUCAUAAGGUACCAUGGAUAGUCGGGAUAAGUAUUUUUCCACAACUUCAUUUGUUCAGCGGAUGACGAAGAGCUUGUGGUGGCUGCAUUGGUCAUCAAUUACCACAUUGCUAGGCAGCGACCUCGGUUCAGGAGAUCAAUCUCGAGUCAUGCUCCGGCCUUGAACUGCAAUAGGUAGAGCGGCCAUACCCUGCUAUAUGCUGAUUACUUUGAGAAUACCGCGCUCUACAAAUCACAUCAAUUCCGUCGCCUCUCCCAUAUGGCGAGACAUGUUUUCAAUCAUAUUCGAGAAGGACUGGUAGCAUAUGACCCAUACUUUGAGUGCAAAGAGGAUGCCCUUGGAAAGCUUGACUUCUCCUUUUAUCAAAAAAGCACUGCAACUAUUCGCAUGCUUGUGUAUGGAAUUCCACGCGAUCUUAUGGAUGAGUACGUGUGUAUGAGUGAGUACACAUGAUUCCUAUCAAUGUACAAUUUCUGCAAGAUUGUGGUGGUAGUGUUUGACCCUGAGUACUUGAGAGAGCCAACUACCAUUGAUACAGAAAGGUUGUUGACGAUCAAUGCCGAGAGGGGCUUUCCGGACAUGCUUGAUAGUAUAGAUUGUAUGCACUAGAAGUGAAAGAACUAUCCAUUUGCUUGGCAGGUGCAGUACAAGGGGCAUGUGAAAGGUGCCACUGUCAUACGCGAAGCGGUAGCUUCAUAAGAUUUGUGGAUAUGACAUUUUUUUUCCAGCAUUACUGGUUCUUACAAUGAUAUCAACGUGCUUCAAUGUUCUCAAGAGUUCGCAAGGCAUGUAGAAGGCCACUCACCAAAGGUCAACUUUGAGACCAAUAUCAACCAUUACAUCUAAGGAUACCACCUAGCUGAUGGUAUAUAUUCUCAGUGGUCAACUCUUGUAAAGAGAUACCCAAUCCACAAAGAGAGAAGAGACAGGGAUUUGCCCAAAUGUAAGAAAGUGCUAGAAAAGAUGUGGAGCAUGGUUUUGAUGUGCUUCAAUCAAGAUGGGGUAUUGUUUAAAACCUACACUGACAUGAAGCACUCAAAAGCUUUGGGAGAUGAUGAUUAUUUGUGUGAUCAUGCACAACAUGAUAGUAAAGGAUGAGCAUGAUAACAUCAUCUAUGAUCAAGAAUUUAAUUUUCAAGAUGAAAAUGUUGAGCGUGAUCAUCAACAACCGGCAACCUCUGAAGAUGACUUGAUUGAGCACAUGUGCGCUUACAUUGACAACAAAUAGAUGUAUCGGUUCAUUUACGUCUCAUCUAUUCAAGACAAUUUCGAUUGGACUGUAAAACUAUUUAAUUGUGUUUUUAUUUGAACAUGAAACUUUAUUAUCUGUGAAACUAUUUGUAUAAUAUUCGCAUUGUUCUAGGACCUUUUCCUCGUUGUGGCGGACCAACAGCGGCCGUGCAUUGAGCGCACGGCCGGUACAUGCAGAAAAACAUACGGACGCCACUCCAUUGUUUUAACAAACGGAUAAAAUUUAAACAAAACAUACUUCUGUUUGGUAUCGUGUAUUGAAGUUGGCCUCAGCUAGCUGGUCUGUGUUCUUGCAGACGAGUUCUUUCUGGUGAUUCUUUAGGUCCACACAAAAAUGACCAAAACAUGUAGGUUUUGUGCAUGGGAAAUCAAUCAAUUUACGAGGCGCAGGACAGAACGGCCACAGAAGCAAGCAGUUGGGCACCACCGGUCACCGGAGGCGUGGAAUCUCCGCCGGGCUCCACGGAACCUGGAACUAGGAUACCCUGUCGUGGUGCACUGGCCCACGGUGUGAGGCGGAGAGGUUCGGCCCGCCCGAGUCCCACACGCUCCCCCACCACAAAAUCGUCGAUCAGAAUCAAUUUCCCCCGGAUGAAACGAGAUUACCCCGGCCGAGACGACUGCCGACUCCCCUCCUCCGCAGGAUGGCGCGGCCGCGAGAGAUCCACAAGCUCCACGCGGUCGUUGGCAGCCCCGGCGGAUAAAACCACGCGAGCACCAGUCAGAAAAAAGCACCGGUCGGAAACUCACACCAACGUCGGUCAAGGCGAGAAGCCGAGAAGCAAUCAGGUGCCAGAAGCCCAGAGCCAACCAGCCUCAGCGCGCGCGCGCGUGUGUGGUGGUGGGAGGUUCUUCAGCAGCUUGCGGGGCUAGAGCGGCGGCAGCGAUGGCGGCGUCCGUGGCCACCUCCCCGGCUUGCAGCCGGCUCAUCCCCAGCAGACCCCUCUCCGCCUCCGCCUCCGCCGCCGCGCCGUCCCUCGUCCGCCUGGCGGGGUCCUCCAGGCGCCUCCGCCGGGCCCUGCGGGUCUCGGCCGCGGCGGAGCCGGCCGACGCGCUGCCGGGGCCCGGGGCCGGCGACCUGGACGGGGUGGUGCCGGCGGGGCUGCUGGAGGACCUGCCGGAGGGCCUCGCCUUCCAGGGCGAUGUGGGCGGGGGUUUCGCCCCCGGCGGCGGCGGCGACGACGGCAACAAGAUGCUCGACCGCGGCAUCAACGCGGCCAUCGUGCUCGGCGCCAG
rnacentral:lncRNA from 1 species